AUGGUGGAUUGGUAUAUGAUGAAGUCAUGCCUUCAUUUUCAUUAACCUUGGCUCCUAUCGCUCUAUAAUGGUAUAUUUAGUUUAUGUAUCUAUGAUAUUAAAAAUUGGAUGAUUUCAUUGUUUUUAGAUUUUUUUUGACGUUUUUCUUUGCCAUUCUAAAAGGUGGGCCACCUAAGUCAGCAUGCAGUCUGCCUAUGUAUUUUGGGGUACCACAGACUAGGCUAUGGCCACAUUGAAAACGUUGCAAAAAAGGAUCUAUUCAUGAAAAUCUCUAACGUGGACCAGAUGAAGCAGUGGCCUUGGACUUGUGUCCAGCAGAUAGAGCAGACAGGGAAGUGUAAGGAAAGAUCAAAGGCCAGAUGAAAGUAGUGAAGGAGAAAAGAAAAGUCUGAGACCACUAGCAUUGAAAGAGCUGAAAGAAAUAUUGAAUGACACAAAAGAAAAUCAAGCUGCUUGAAGGUUAUCUGGUUAUUGCUAUGAGCUACUUUAGGUCAACUCAUGUUUCGCUUGUUGACUUCAUAAAAUUGUUUCCAUGAGUAAGCCACAUAAUAUAAGUGCUACCCAAUUUUGUGCAUCCAAAUGGUGCAUUAUAUGGAUAGUUUGAUAUGCAUUACUAAUUUGAGUUUAAUACUUAACACAGCUACAUAAGCAAACAUCAAAAGAUGAGUGAAGUGAGUAUACGAGAUUUCCCCUCAGGCUCUUUCCAAGGUCAGUGCUUAGGGUGGCUAUCUAAGUGGUCUAAAAUGCGAUCCCGUUAUAGCGAAUGUAACAAUCACUAUUAGGGCUCUUUCCUUGCUAUCCAAGGUCGGUACUCAGGGUGGCUACCUAGGUGGUUUAAAAUGCAAUCUCGCUAUAGCUAAUGUAAUAAUUGCUAUUAGGGACUUACCAAAAAAAAAAAAACUUAUCUAGGAUUCUAUAUUUUUUUAGCUAAACAUUUUCUAGGCAAUAUUUAUACAAAAAAUAAUUUAUUCAUAUUCUUUUAUGCAUUAAAAAUAGCUUUAGAAUCUGCUACCCAUGUUCUUUUGCAUUAUUACUUUCCCAGAUAAGUUGCUAAGAUCUAUCUAUAUUUUCUAUAAUACCCUUUAUUAUACAAAUAUUAUAGUAUAUUAUUUUAUAAUAAUAUAUGACAUCAUAUUAAUAUAUUACAAUAUAUAAUAAUAAUAUAUUACAUUAUAAUAUAAUAUAACUAAAAAAUAUAUUAUAAUAAUAACAAUAUAUUAUAUUAUAAUAACAAAUUAUAUUAUAAUAAAUUACACUAUAAUAUAAUAAUAAUAAUAUGUUAUUUUAAAAUAAUAAUAUAGUAAAUUAUAAUAUUAUAACAUAAUAUCAUAUUAUAAUAUACUAUAUUAUAUAUCUUUAUGUGAUUAUUAUUUUCAGGUUAAGGGCAUUUUAGGAAUAAAAUAAAAUAUUAUUUUUCAACUGAUGGAAAAAUGAUUUAUCAAUGUCCUAGCUGGGUAAGACUAUCUCACUAUUUCAUAGAUAAAUGCUGCCCAUGGAGAAAUAGCUUACCCAACCAUAUGGGUAACUUGGUCAAUAGGAAAGUUGACCAACUUUCUAAUGAUAUUUAACCAUCAAAGAACAGUCCCUUGAUGAUAAAUUAUUCAGGUUCUCAAAAGUCUCAUAUAAAAAGAUACUUAAACCACAAUUCUAGAACUCCCUCGCCUUUCAAACUAAUUUAAGACUUUAAAUGACUAUUACUAAAGUUAGGCCUCCAAUAUGUUGUCGGAGCAGUUCCCAAAAUCUUGACAUAACAACUAGCUCUAAAAUCCUCCCUAUCUAACCAUCCAGCUUCUAUUCAAAUUUAUAUGUGAUAGUUAGCUAACAUCAUAACCCUGUUCACGACCUUAUAUAAGUACAUGCAUUAGUCUCCCAUGUGUGUGUGUGUGUGUGCACACGUGCGCACGUGAGAGUUAGUGAGCACUUUUUACUUUAUGGGCUUAACAGCUUCUUCAAUAAUCUGCAUGAAGUCAGGAACUCACCUUCUAGUGCAGCUUUUUGCAACCAAAAAAAAAUUACCUUCCACAAAUAAAUUAUUAUGGAAUUUCCUUUUAAAAUCCUAUUGGACACUUGUCAUGAUUAUCAUUCUACUAGGAAUAAAUUUUUAUCUGUAAUAUGGCUAUUUGUGUGGGAUGCAGCACAAUUGGAGCAGAUGAAACUAAUAAACAGAGUCCCAACAUCAAGUAUAAAUCAAGAAAUAUUUUGUGAGUAAAGCCAUACAAGACCACUAAAAAAAUCACCCAACGAAGAAACAUUGUCAUUUGGAUCUUCUUCAGUUAAAUGUUAAGAGUAAACAUACAAGAUCUUUCAUUAUAAAAAUUUUAAAAAAAAAAAGGUUCAGACAUGAAAUUCUGGACAAUUACUUAUCAAAAGAAAAUUACUAUUUAGAACUAAUAGAAUGUUAAAACUUAAAACAGAAUGCCAAACAAGUCAUCAUAUUUAUUAGAAUAAGGUAGUCACCAGAUAGCAAGUUAUGGUGAAUUAACUAGAAGGUCACUGAUAUGUACAUACCUUUUUCUUCUUUAUCAAAUAGUCGAACUCCACCAAUGAAAGAUGAACUAACUCAUCCAUUUCAGGAAGCCAUGUAAGCUUCAGCUUUGUUGUUUUAACAGAGCCUUCGAGGUGUAAAACUCCAAUCAGAUGUGUGAUCUUCGCAUUGUCUUUCUUGAUUUCUUUUAUGAUAGCAUUCCCCCAAUCCAUUAAUGUUACCUCCUCACCCUCCGUGAUAGAUAAUGCAUCCGCAUAGUCUAUCCAUAUUCUCUUUGUGUAUGUUGUAGCUUUUGUCCCAGCGCCCUCAAAUUUCUUAUGCCUAGGCAUGAUACGGACAAAUGGCUUCUCAGGACCGUCUGGACCGUCUGUAAGAAGCAACAUCACACGAUUUUCUUCAAGGACAGCAGUAUGUCUUGGACAUAUUGGAUCAAUGAUCUUCUUAUUGAUAGUCCACAGCUUGUCCCACUCCAUAAGGUUCAGAUUUUUAGAAGCACCCUACAAGUUAGCAGAAGAUAAAUGUCAACCAACGGAAAUCGUACAUAUUGAAGAGGCCAAAGUAUUAGAAAUAUCACCUGUUGAAGAAUGAACUGUAUUAAUGCCUCAAUUUUCAAACCUCUGCGCACUAUGCCCUGCACGGUAGGGAACCGAGGAUCAUCCCAUCCCUCAACUUUCCCAUUUUGAACAAACCAAAGAAGUUUACGCUUGCUAAGAAGCGUGUAUACCAUAUUCAACCGGCUGAAUUCAUAUAUUUGGACUUUGCGGAGUCCCAUAUCCUCAAGAAUUUGAAGAUACUGUGCAUUGCGAUCAUGGUAUUCACUUGACCGAAGGGCAUGUGUCACACCUUCUAUGGAAUCAACAAAUGGACACGCAAAGUCAUAGGUUGGAUAGACCUUAUACUUGGAUCCGAUACGAUGAUGAGGAUCCGGAUUGUAACGGUAAUAAACAGGAUCUCGAAGCGACUUGUUUGGGUCCUGCAUGUCCAAUUUACCUCGUAAACAGCAUUGCAUACCUCUUUCAGACCCUGCAAUCAUCUCCUUCCACAAUGCCAGAUUCUCAUCAACAGUAUUAUUCCUACAUUUUGAUUCUAUGCCAUCCAUCCUCUCCUUCUGCAUCUGCUCCCGAGGUGUAUCAUCCACAUAUGCUUUUCCCUUCAGAAUCAAGUUUUCAGCCAUUUUCAUCAACUGAGGGAAAUAAUCUGAUGUGUAAGUAACAGCAUCAUAUUUGAUGCCCAAAGUCUCUAUAUCUUUCAGCAGAUUCUCCACAAAUUCAUUGCUUUCUUUUGAAGGAUUUGUGUCAUCAAAGCGAAUAAUUAGCCGCCCUUGAUAUCUCUGAGCAAAGUACUGGUUCAGAAGAGCAGCUUUUGAGUGCCCAAUGUGGAGGUACCCACUAGGCUCUGGAGCAAAACGCAAGCACACCUCCCCAACUUUUGCACCAGGAAGAUCUACUUCAAACCCAGCAGUAUUUGCCUUCGAAACAACCGGCCCAUUUGUCUCCUUUCCCUUUAAAUCUGGAUUACUGCCUGAUACUACUCCAGUAGGUUUAGCCGCAGGCUUUCCUAACCCUCUUUUCCCAACAAAUGCAGCUGUGACUUCAUUGAGAGCAUGACCAUAUUCCACUGCUAUGCUAUUGAACCAACGAACUAGAUUUUGAUAUUUCUUUGAUUUCCUAAGGCUUUCCCAUCUCUGUCCAGUGCCUGCAGAUGUGCGGACAAGCUUUCAGAACAAGCACCAAGGACUGGUAAUAACACGAGAGCUUACUGUCGAGUGGAAAAUAGUGCAUAAAAUUUAAAAUACGACCUGCAAGACCCGACCAUACAGCUAUGUCAGCAAUGGACAAACUGUAGCCAACUAAAAAAGUCCGCAGAGAUAGAUAGCCAUCCACGUCGCUGCAAGCACCCUCAAAUUCCGAGCCAGAAAGAAAGAUUGGAGCAUAGUCAAGCCAUUCAUCAAUCUGUGAAAAACUUAUUAGAGCUCGGUGACACCGGGAGGAAAGGCAGUUCAAUCAGCAACAUACAAAGUGCAUUAUAACAUACCUGUCCUGAUUCAAGCGCAUCCUGGCCGUAGAAAUUGGGAAUUGAUGCAACCCGCCCGAUAUAGCGUAGGAGUGUGUUUGUACCUUGCAAUUUCAAUCUGCAGAUUUGUGCUAUCAUGUAGAAUUCAUAUUAUGUAAAGACAGAACAGUUGCAUCAAUAACAUAUACCAUUUUGCAGGAUGUUAUUAUACUGCUUAUAAAACAAAACGACUUGUAUACAGCAGCAGCAAAAUAGAAUAAAUCAGUACACAACCACCACUGCAAUGGAUCAUCCAGUUGAUUUUCCAUACAACUGUCACAAAGCGAAAAAUUGGAAAAAUGGAUAUAGACCCAGAUAUUACUUUGUAAAAUAUACCCAGGUGAUUUGGGAUAAAUCGACUAUCCAUCAAAAUCCCUACUAGACCAUUCAUUUUACUAGCCUUGAUGCUAACAAUCAUAAGGGACAAAUUGUACACAUAAACGAUUCAGGAGAACAAAACUUAGUGCAACUGUAACCUGACAUGGAUUCUACUCUUUUUACUAAAAAAAAAAGGGAAAUAAAAAGAAGUGACAUCGCUAAUACCGUGUAUUUUUCCACAAAUUUUUCUUUUGCAGAAAAUGCAAAACGUUUCCAAUAUCACUGAUUCCAACGGAGCUCUUCUAACAGAUUCAAACUCCCCAUCACCAACUUCCGCGAUUAGAAACUAUAUAUUUUCUCUAAAUUAUAUAAAACAUGGGGGAAGAACAGAAAUAGGUUUUUUUUUUUUUUUUUUUUUUUACGACAGGAGAACAAAAGAAGGAACCAAAUUUCCAGUCCCCUAAAGCAAACGAGCAACACAGCAAAGAGUCCACUAUAGAUUCAACGGAAACCUAUACGGUCGCCGGACGCCGAUUGAGCUGAAAACCAGACAAGGGGCGGAAAAUAUACCCGGAAUCGAAGCGGAAAACGGGCGCGGAGCCUGGAGGGAGGCUGGGGUCGGUGGAAAGUGGUACGCCGGCGAUCCUCGCGGCGGCGAUGACAGGAAGCGGCGGUGAAUCGGCGGAGAAUGCGACUGCGAUCUCCAUCACGCCGCAGAGAAAGUGGGGAGAUUCCAGCUGGUGGGGAACUUAGGGUUUGGAACAAAGAAAGGUCCCAGUAACCGCCUCUCGAAGGGCAGUGGAAACCGGAAAGAAUCCGAUCCUGCGUGCGGGGCGGUUUGGUUCGUCAGGCUGGCGCGCAUGGUUUGGUUUUUUUCACAGGACUCGACGGGAUCGGGUCAAAUAUGGCUGCUAUAAAGCGUCCUGCUCAUUCUCCGCAACGCCGAGGGGAGGGAAAAAGAAACCGGACUUGGAAUCUGAUACUCUUAGCAAAAAUUCUCGGAUUUCUUUUCUCUGAUCAAAUGAAAAAUCUAGGACACCGGUGCAUCCCCGGCGCUAUUCUUCUACAAUAUUAGAAAUUUAAAUGGCAGAUGCAAAUUCUUACAGUAGAUACAUAUAAUUAAAAUAAGUGAAUUGUUGCAGCUGAGUUCUGGCGGUAAAAAUCAGUCGAGCACGCCCAAGGACGCAAGCUGCACUCCACAACUCUGAGGCCUGCAAGAAAAAUCUUCUCAUCAGAGUGCAUCCAACGAGGGACCUCUGAUGCCUAAGUCAGAUGGAACUCAAAGAACAGUGAGGAAAAAAAUGGGUAAGAGCGGGGCCUGGCCUUUUUCUAAAGGUUUCUUACUUCUUUUAUAUUGAGAGGAUGUUGUAGAUUAGUAUGUCGGAAUCUGUUGGACUAUUAGAGCCUACGAUGUCAUGAUUUCUGACAGGCUAUUGAGAUUUGCUUUUUACCUUAUAAUCUAGAUUGUUAGUCGUUCCUAUAGGUUAGGUCGGUUGUGGAUGUCGGUCACAGGUCAUGCCCAUAUCCCGGAGGUUAUUGAAGAAUCUCAAGAUCGUCUGCAUGAUUAAGUAGACUAGAUACCUAAGGUGAGGCUCUAUCUAGAAGUACAGAUGCUCACAUAAGUCAUCGAACAUUGUUGGUCUGGUCCCAACCUUAAGAUCAGUGGCUGGCGGAGGUGAAGACCAAUGUUGUAGCGCCAUUUUGUCUCAAAAGAUAGUCUACUCUUAUCGGGCCAUUAAUUGGUGCUCGGCUUCGACUCGAGGAGAGGUUGGAUUUGAUAAUGGGUAAUCCAAUAACAAUUGCCCCCACUUCUGAGUUUGAAGUGGCUUCAUUGCUUCGAUGACGAGAGUAAUCGAUUAUCAGUUACCACCCUGACCUCUCUCUUCGAAGUAUCUAUUUUGGCGGCACAUGGCAAGUGGAGUCUUGAAAAUCUUAAAUUCAUUUGCAUUCGCCAUGCAUUGGGUGCUGGUAAGUGUCAUAUCAUGCUUCACAGGUUGUCGAAGGUGAUUUAUUUCGAGGAUCGUGUAAUGAGAGGUCGUACAAUUUAGAGACUUAAGAGCUGUGGCUUUUAAUAUUGGUGCUUUCCAAAAAUGACAGCCUGCCAAAAGGGACAAUCAGGAUUCUAUUCCCUAGGAGGCAUGGUCUCUGAGGUCUUUCAGGUGAUUACACUUAUCGUGCGACUAGAGAAGCGACAGGAUACAUGCUAGUCUGCCUUCCCUAUAAAUAGAGGAUCUGUCACCUGAAGUUGAUCUCGUUCCAAUCAUUUUCCACAAUCUUGCAGUGGUAUCGUUCUACCUGAUGUUCGAUAGUCGUUGGCGCUCACUUCUCCUUGGAGAGAUUUUUCCCUACCUUCAGUUGGCUGCAGGGUGCCCUAAGGAGAUCACCCACAGGAACUCUAGUUUGAUAUGGGAGAUAUUGAAAAUUCUCAUUGUUCCGACCGUGGGGCUGCAACGAUGAUCACUUAGGGACUUCUUCAGUAUCGUACUCUAUAGAAAGAUCUUGGACCUUUAUAGGGAUAGUCUUUCACCUCCCCCAAGAUAGCUUUCCAACUUUCCUUGGAAGAAUAUCUGGGGAAAUGGAUGGGUUCUCGAGAGGGAACCAAUUAUGCCAAUUCCUAAUAUCCUUUGGUAUGGACCAGCGGCUGUCAAGGGGAUCUUCUAGGGUGCAUGUUAUCGAGGGCUCAAUAGGGCCAUAUCGAGCAUAGUUCGAUUUUGCACUUGAGGAUGUUGAUCGAGUCCGAAGAUGUCGAUCGAGUCCAAAGUUUAUCCAAGCCAAAUUUUUGUACUUUCCUUUCUCAUUAUAAUGAGUUUUGUUAGAAUGAAAUCAAUUUAUAAUGAAUUUAUCCUAAAAUGAAUAUAAAUUUUUAAAUGAAGAAGUGCUUCAUCAAUGUCUCUUUAGUUUGUCUUGUGUAAUUGUCUACUUGACGAGCUGAAUGUCUGGUAAAGUGAAGGUUUCUAAUUCUAGUCUAUAUCCAGAGUCUUUCCCUUCAUAAUUGUGAUGCUUUAAAUCAAUUUUUAACCGACCUUUGGUGAGGUAUUUUGCUUUCAUUGAGUCGACAACAUUGUUUUUCAACCAAUUAUGCAUGUAUUUGGUCAUGGACCAAUGAGGCCCUGUUCGAGGUGGACUAGUGAUACCACUAUCUCUGGUCAUCGUUGUCUUUGAUUAUUGUUCGAGCAGUGUGAGCCGAUCAAGUUUCGAGGGCUUCCCCAGCAUCUUCUCGAAGUAGUUAAGCAUUGCAUAUAACACCUUGUCAAUCGACUGCACCCUCAUUCCAAGUCCCAAGUCAGUUUCAUUGGAUUUGGGUGGAAAGGAUAGCUUUGUCGCCAUCUCAAUCCUACUCUCCGGCUUUUUUCCAGAGAGUUGUCCUUUAGUUGCCUAGCAUUUAUUACCACCUUUGGAAGAGAAAUCCCAUCAUUUCGUGAGUUGUGCAUUUACAAUUAUGGUGGAGUUAAUUAAAGCAUCGUGCCAUCCUCACCUUGACUAAUUCGAUGGCUUGCAAGAUCAUCCUUGAAUCGACUGCGACUUACACGUGUCAGAGCAUGGUUGGCGAUGGAUUGCUCCCAUGGAUCCUAUCCUACAAGGCACAAUCGUAGGCUGAGUGCAGCGAAGAGUCGGGAGGCAUGACUGUGCGGAUCAUUCAAUACGUCAGUAUAUGUAGCAAAAGAGGAGUGUCAAGGUUUCGAUAGUGGCUAUCAGGGGAUAAUAUUUGUAGCCAUUCCGCACUUCUCUUGCCACUUUGUUUCUUCUCCAUGAAGAUUUGCUGGGUGCAAUCGGAAGAGAGCCCCUUGCUUCUUCUUCCUCUUUGGUCUUGUCGUCGUUCUGGUCCUUAGCCAUCAUCGCGGUCCUUUUUCAGUUGCUUCCAUCGUCUGAAGGUUACCUUUUUCACCCCUUUUUCUUUUUUGUUUUUGUGCCUUUCUUUUGCAACCCCUCUUUUAUUUUCUACUGCUUCAUGCUUCUCCCUUCUUUUCUGUUUCUUUGUUUUCCUUUUCAAUGUUGAGUUCGAAAGGCAGAUUUGAGGGUGGGAGCCAUCUGAGUGGUCAGGACUCUUCUUCCCGAUUGUCCAUCGAGGUGGGCUCUUCUUUCUGCUGUGGUGACUCCUCGGCUUGGGGAUUCGAGAGUCUAAUCCUCGAGCAUUUCUUGGGUCUAAAAAAUAAGGAAUCGGUUUGGACCAAUCCGACCUAACACGCCUUCGAAGUCAGUAAUGUAUUCCAAGUUAGCACCAUUUGUUGGCUCCAGGUCUGGAAGACCGGGUGAUCCUUAGCCAGAAGGUAGUAUUGCUAUCUAUAAAGAGUUUCUUCGAUCUGAACUUCAUUUUUUUCUUCAUCUAUUUCUUUCUAACAUUUUUUAUCUUUAUCGAAUUGUUUCUACACAUCUUGCCUCGAGCUCCAUUCGAAUUCUUUACUCUUUUAUCAUCCUCUGUGACAUCCUCUACAUCUCCUUGAGGCCGUCUCUUUUCUGAUCUCUUUUUAUCCUAAAGAAACACUCUCAAGAAAGAAGCUGACUCGAGUGGUAUGGACAUACUGUUUGACCAAUGUGAUGGCUUGAAAUCUCUCUAUCGGGUCGAUUCUGAUUUAAAGCAACAAAGCUCGGGAUCCUUCGUUGGGUUGAAGAUGAAGUAGAGAGAAUAAUUAAAAAAAGAGAGAAAAACUAAGAGACUAGAAUAAAGCUAAUCAGAAAAUAGUAUCCGACGUUCCGAUCGAUCUGAUUCAUCAAGUCAUAAUUGAACUAGUUACAUAUAGUUAAAUUAAAAAAAAUUAUAGAUAAUCAAAUCUAGUAGCAUUCAAUUUGAUCAGGAUGAGCACCAGCAAGCUAUCCGACAAUCAUAGAUCAAGAUCUUGUUCAACAGAAUCCAUCAAAUUCAUCGAAAAAAAGUCUUUUACUAGAUCAAUCUUAGAUAGAGAAACUUCAUAGAAAGAGAAAGUAUAGAUAAAUAAUUAUAGAGAGAGAAAAAAUGGAGAGAGAAAUUGGAGAAGCAUGUGGAGAGAGAGAAAAGAAAGAGAAAGAAACUUUCUCUCUUGUUCAUUUUAUCUUUUUCAUAUUUUAUUUUAUUCUCUNNNNNNNNNNNNNNNNNNNNNNNNNNNNNNNNNNNNNNNNNNNNNNNNNNNNNNNNNNNNNNNNNNNNNNNNNNNNNNNNNNNNNNNNNNNNNNNNNNNNNNNNNNNNNNNNNNNNNNNNNNNNNNNNNNNNNNNNNNNNNNNNNNNNNNNNNNNNNNNNNNNNNNNNNNNNNNNNNNNNNNNNNNNNNNNNNNNNNNNNNNNNNNNNNNNNNNNNNNNNNNNNNNNNNNNNNNNNNNNNNNNNNNNNNNNNNNNNNNNNNNNNNNNNNNNNNNNNNNNNNNNNNNNNNNNNNNNNNNNNNNNNNNNNNNNNNNNNNNNNNNNNNNNNNNNNNNNNNNNNNNNNNNNNNNNNNNNNNNNNNNNNNNNNCCUUUGGUAGAAUAGGGAACUCACUACAAACAAAUGAUAGACUGUUCAGGCAGAACAACAAAUGCUGGUGAGCUCUAUAUGAUCAAGUUGGAAACUACAUUAACUAAUUGUUAGGCAAUCCCAUUUCAUAUGUCUUCGACAGUCUCACUAGUGUAGACUUAACAUAAGCUUGGAUAUGCUAGAAGAAAGUUAACAUAAGUUCAUUGUUGGCAAUCCUAUUUCUGACAAGUUCACGCUUAUGAUCUGUUUUUGUAAUAUAUGAUAUGCUUUAUUUUUGUUUUUGAAUAGGGAAGCAAGAGAUAUUGGAAAGUAGGAGCGAGGAAGAAGACAUGGAGAAAUGUUUCAGAGAUGAAUGCUCUGUAACUGAUAAUGUCAUAAAGGAACAAGGUAGCUGUUAGCUUCUUCCGUCAGAUAAUUGUCGCCAUAUUAGUGUUAGUAAUGUCAGUGGAUUUUUUUUUUAUUUCUAGGAUUUGUAUAUUUAGAGAUCAAAACUAUCAUUUAAAUUAUGAUUUUCAGAAAAAGAGUACUUAUAGUAUUACAUGAACACCAGGUCUUCGGCCGCUAGCCCAGAAGCUUAUAGGUAGUUUAUUAGUUCACCUGCUUACCAUCUUCAUGCAUUUUUUUAUUGAUCUAUGUAUGAAAUUAGUAGAAAUGAAGAAUUCCUUUGACAUCAUUGCAUGUAGAUGCGGCUAUGACAUGGUUAGAACGGAUUGUUGAAGAGAAAGGGGGAACAUGGGGAGACUCGAAUGUCAUCUACAAGAGAUGCAACAAAAAUUAAGUAUAAAAGAUUCUUGCAAAUGCAUGACGGCAACCCUAACCAACCCGACCAAAAUAAAAGUUUCAACAUCUAUUUCAUUUUUUUUAUUUUAUAAUUUUUAAAUGAAGCCAACAACACCAAUGCCGCCUUCAUUGUUUCAUUGCCGACUUCAUCCAAACAUCACACAGAAGCUUUGACUCUUGUUUUGAUCUCCCCUCCUCCAACUUCCUAAUAGGCAUGGCAUCAGCACAACAACCUUGACAGCCCUCUUUCCCUCUCCUCCUCCCCAUCCCUCUCUUUCCUUCUUCCUCUCUCCCUCCUUCAACGAUUUCUCAUUUCAAUUGUCGAAACCAUCCUAAUCCACCGUCAACUCUGUAUGCCCCAAACUUGAUUCAAAAGUAUAAAACCAUGGUGAUUCAAAGAUCAUAUAACAAUUUAUCCACACAAAUCAAUAAAGCAAACUCAUCCGAUCUCACAUGACAUGGAAACUCUUUCCUUUAGAAAACUCAUCGACCCAUCAGAUAUUUAUCCGUGGCAAAACCUACGACAACCAAAGAACUCAAAAGAUAGGUACAACUCAUAAUUCUUAAAAGGACAAGAUUAGCAAAGAAUUACGAGUCAAUGCCGGAUCCCCCAUGAUUCUAUAAUUACACAGAUACCUCGAUAGUUGUCUGAAUUUCUAAUUUGCAAAGCCUAGCAUAACUGCAGUAGCGACAAGUAAAAAAAUUUAAAUAUGAACAGCAAGACCAUCCAAAACUCUACAUACGGUCGCAUCGCACCACGAAAAGAACUCGGUUAUUUUGUGGUGCGCGAGCACAUGGGGAGGCAAAUACAGUGUUUCCUUCACUAUUCUCCUCCCAUAUCUUGAUUGCACUUCAAACUAUUUCUUCUUCCGACCUCCAGUCUUGGACUUCUUGCCUGUAGUUUCCUUCACUACCUUGUCUGGUGCUUCCUGGUACGAAAGAAAUCAGAAAAGCAAACGCUAUAAAGGAUUAGCAAAAGCAACGCAAAAUCCAAUUUCAGUAUAUAGAUGAUUAAAGCAGCUAAAUUUAGCAAGAGCUUGCAGUAUAGAUCUUUCAGGCAGCUAGAGGACGGAUACGGAUAGUUGUCUUAUCAUCUUAGAAAGGCAAAAAUAUGAUUUGGUCAAAAGGUGAAUCAAAUCGCAUGUAUGCAGAACCAAGGUGAAGCUUGUUAAUAGUUCACCACAAACAUAACCAUAUUCAAGAAACACCGCCAUCUAGUUUCUGCUCUCCAAGUUAAAAAAUUUCAUGAAUAAUGUAACAUGCAUGUAUACAUGCAUGCACACCCACCAGAAAAUAAAAAGGCAUAAUAAUAAAUAAAAAAUAAAAUGAUGACAAGUCACAUUCACUUGCAUAUGCAAUAAUACUUCGGUAAUAAAUAAAGUAUUAUGCCAGUGCGCGAGCUUAAAGUUGGCAAUCAACUGGGUCUUUGAGAAGUUCUAAAUGUACUAAUAAGCUAAAGAGGAUGCAACAUUUUUAGUUUCCUUCACAUGUAAAGGAUCUGCUUCCUCAAAUAUAACAUCAGAAAUCAAAUCAUGUUUCUUUCCCCUUCAAAGUUCACACCUAUUUAGUUUGAAUACACAGUUAGAGAGUGACUCUCCACCCUCUCAAUAGAUUAAUCAAUGAGGUCCCCGUGAAUGACCAAGGUUGACCUUACAUAAUCCCACAAUCUACAUAUUUUUGUAAUGCAGAAGAUGCGAUAGGAAUUUCCCAUUCAAGGAUGUUCUUUACCAAUUUUAAUCUUAACAUAUAAAAAUAAACCAUUCAUCAAUUUCUUCUAAGGAUCAAUUGAAUUUUGUCGGCAUCAUUUGCUGAAACAGAUGCCUAUAGGUAACACCUAAUGGCAUCAGAAUUGCAGCAAUGAAAUUAAUUGUUUUAAACUGCCAAUAUUGGAGAUUUGAGCUCAUAUAGACUAGUAGCAUGACACCUGAGACUCCAGUGCUGAUUUGGAGUGCCAAGCAUGCAUCUGUUUUCCUGUUACCCAGGAAUCACAGAGACCAAGGAGAGGAGCAGGUCCAGGUUGUAUGCCCAUUUAUCUUUCCAUUUCCCCAAAAUAGAGAAACUUUUAGCUUCAUGUAAGAUGUAUUCUGAGAAGUCAAUGAAGCUCUUUUUUAAGGCCACAUUCAGGUAAGAACAAGUAAUUGCUCUCUGAAAAAGUAACAUUGUUCGACUUAGACUGAAAAUGGUUAUAAACUUAAGCACCCCCUAAUGACAGCUUCUAUGCUUCUUUCAUUGAAGGUAUCUACAGUAGAAAAGAAUUAUUGCAAGUUAAUGAAUCCACAAGAGAGCGAGGAGACAAAAGGAACAGAUAUUGCAUUUAGGUAAAUGGAAAAAAAAUAAAGUGGAUGGAUAUUCUAGCCUUAGGUUCUCAUGACAUGCAAUCAGUUUCAGACGAAAAAACAAACUGGAAGAUGCAGAUAGAAAGAUAUGCAAUAAUGUUAAAAGUGAGGCCCUUAAACCAAAGUGAUGGUUCUUCAAAAAUCUUGAUCCCAAAGCAAUCCACAGUAAUGAGAUUAAGUAGCAUCUUAUGAACCAAACUCCAGUGUCAAAGAAUUAGACAACCUCAUUGCCUAGGGAAACAUUCAUAGAUUAACAACAAGCCAACAGCUGUCAUGUUACAUGCACUGACAAAGUAACACACGAGUCCCCCAAACUGAUGUUUUACUCUCAAAUGACUGCUAAAUCGUGGGCCAGAACACCCAGAAUGACUCAUCAAAUAUAAACCUCCAACAAAACCAUCACGAGAAGUGCUGGUUUGGUAAUGGAUCAUGUGUACAUCUGUCCAGCUUGUGGGAAAAAGGAAAUGAGAAAAAAGAAAAUUCAUGCUGGACUACCAUAAAAACUAAGAAGAAUCACUACAUUUUGGCACUGCACAUAUAAAAUACAUAUAGAUUUUGAACUAAUCGGAAUCAUAACAUUGUUGAAAUAAGCUUUUGCAUCCAGCUGAUAUGACUCAAAUUCGACUAGUAAUUAUGUUUUUGAAGUUUAAGCUAAUUUUCAGCAUCCAAAGAGACAUUAAUAAAAAUAUUAUGUAUAAUUAAAAGAUAUGAGAUUGAAGUUAACUGCUUACAUGCAUAGAUUCUCAAAAAACUACUUAAGCCUAGUAAUUUUGUCUAGGAUCACUGAUCCACAUAAUGAUGACUUAUUUGGAUGCGCUGCACGUGUAUGCAGAGGUGUAAUAUGUGAUUAACAAGACUGCAGAUGUUAAAUGGUAAACUAGAAAUCAAGCAGAAGAAUUGUGAUGCAAUGGAUUCAACUUCUAAAACAAAAUUAAACUAAAAACAAUAUGUGAGUGCAAGUUUGAAUAUCAUGCAGCCAUCUGCGUUGAUUGUAGCUUUUCUUUUUCUUUGUACAUGUACACUGUUGAAAUUAAUGCUCUUCGACUAAAUGAAAUAAUGAAAGCAGAUGUGGAAAAAGAACAUUACAUCAGCAUAUAUAAGUACAGAAUAUGCUAAUAAAACCUCAAGAAAGAUAGCUAGUGAUGCCUGCAAAUUUUUGGCAGCCACACCUAUGAUUUUUUUAUAUUUUAAUGUGAUCACAGUUUCUAGUUAGUAGAAAAUAAAAAUAAAUCUUUACUGUUUGUAAAACUAUGUCAUAGUACCAACAAAACAUAAAAGUACAUCACAAUUCGAAUAUCCAUAGAGAACCUUAUACAUUCUGCAAAUGCGACAUCAGAGACAGGGUCACAAAACAGCCUACGGAGCUAUGCCAUAUUUGUUCAAUGGAAUAGUAUUCAAUAUCAACGGUCAAAGUCAAACAGUUCUGAUGAAGUCUAACCAUCCACAUGUUUCAAAGAUGUUUGAGUCAAAAUUAAACAUGACAAAGCAUCUAUUUUAAAUGCAGAGAAGGUGCUAAACAUUUUAGCUGUUGCUGCAAAAGGGUAAGAAAAAAUGAAAGGAAAGCAACAAUAUGCUUGCAAGACAUACCUUUCGUUUAAGAGGCACAGAUGCACUGACAACUGGCUUAAAAAAGGAUUCCAGUCUACAAAAUUCUAAAUAGUGUCAUAAAUCUAUCAAGGAAAAAAUGGGGGGGGGGGGUGAGGAAGAAAACACAAGUAAUGACACUGUAGUGCUUACCGCCCUUGGGAGGAUUUAUUCUUUGCUGCUUUAAUCUUUUCUAUUGCCUAUCGAAUAGACAAGAAUAAUUAGUCUAUAUCAAGGAUUUUGAGGGAAAUAAGCUUGAGGAAACCUGUUAUAUGGCAUGAAUGAAUACCUUUGUUACUCGAUCAUGGUUGAAACCAUUUUCUUUCACCAGAAAGUCCACAAGACCCUAAAUAAUGAGGAAAAGAAAAGAUCUUGUUAUUGGUUUGGAAGUUCUUGUUAUUUGUUUGAAGUUAAAUUAAUAGACUGAACUAACUUGAAUAACAGUAGUUACCUCCUCCUCUGGAGCAGUCCAUUUGAGCUCUGGAAAUUCUUUAGACACAAGAGGUUCUUUAAACAGGCGUCGAGCUUCUUGAUAUGGCCAGUCCUCAGGUAUUUGAUACCUGCAUUAAAAAAUGGAUCAAACAAAAGUCUAACAACAUAAAAGAGACAGAGAGCAUUCCUACAAUGUUACUACACAGCUGCUGGAAGUCUUGCAUUUCAGAAACUCAAACCACAAGGUCAGCAAAUAUAAAAUUUAUCUUGCACAAGCUAUCGACAGGUUCAGAUGUGCACUCAUACAUUUUCUGCAUAUGACAGAAGAGAGCUUAUCGAAGUUCAUUUUAUUCCAAAGAAGUGAGCUGCUUAACAGAGACCUUGCCCCCAUACUCGUUUGAUUGAGGCAUGCGCCACAAGCAAUUUGAACAAGCAAAUAUGGACACAUAAAACCAAGCCUUCCAAAUUCAUUACUUGCCAAGCAAUAAGUACAAAAGCACUCUAAGCUACAAUAUCUAUCCCCAUGGCCAUUUUAUAGAUACAGUUGUCGACAAACAUAGGGUAUGUUUCAGUAUCUAUAAAGGGGCUGUUGAUAAACUUAAGGCAUUUUGAGCAUUUGCAAAGGUGUGUGAAAUGCCCAAUACGACCGUUGUCUUCAUUCACAUAUAACGCAAAAGUUAAAUGGUAUUUUGGUCAUGUAGCAUGUCUAUCAGUGAUAAACUAUUUUUGCUUACCUAACAUGUCUAUAAGUGAUAAACUACAAGUGAUAAACCACAUGGCAGUAGUGUUGAUGUAAUGAGAUAUCAUCGACUUAUGCAGUUAAAUAUUGGGUUUUUACCCUACUUAAUAUAGGAAUUAAUGUGAAUACCCUCCCAAAACUGAUAUUUGCAUAUAUAGCCUCAUCAAACACUUGUUUUGCAUGUAUAUCCUUUUUAUCUUUUUUGCAUAUAAACCUACAUUAAUGCCGUUAAGGAAUUAACCGUUUAAAAUUAAAAUGACUGAAAUACCCUUAACCAGUAGAUAUGCAAAAAGAAAAAUUUAUAAGGGUAUGCAUGCAAAUAGCAACUUUGCAAAGGUAUUUAUACAAUUUCACAUGUUUAUGACAGCAUAUACACCCAAAAAAAAAAAAAUCUAAUUUUAGUUUUGUUUAUUUCAAUUUGUUCGAACACUCAGAUUAGUCUAGUGCCUGCUCCUCAAUAUUUUCUAUAAAAACAUAGCUCAAGAAAAGAUAGAUUCGAUGAUUAGUUGACAAAGAGAGUUAUGGAAGAUCUUUAUGUGAGGGUAUGGAUUAGAAUAUAGAAAGCGAUCAAAAUCCCUUAAAGGCACACAAUAGAUUGCAAUGAUCAAGCUUCUUUGGUAUGUUGUGCUCAUGGAUGAAAGAACAACAUAAAUCAUCCCUGACCAAAGCCAUUAAAGGACUGCAAAACCCUUCAAACACACUAACAACCUUUCUACGUGGUCGAAGGCCACUCCUUACAUUGGAUACUUUAAGCCACUUUUCUUUGGAGCUUCGAUUUUUUGGAAAAAGAACACACCUAAUGUUUGGGACCUAUAUUGUCAUAGUGAUUUUAAAUCAGCCAUUUGCCUGCACACAAGAAGGUUUCCAACUCUAAAAGAUACACACUGCAAAUCUCGCACGCUAAAUGAUAAACAUUGCAAAUCUCUCAUAAUGCUUUCCUUAAAAUAAUCCAUAGAGCUAAAGGCAAGACCAAGCCAUCUUCAUGUAAAAAAAAAAUACAAUGAAUGGAAAACUCACAUGGUGAUAAAAAGGGCUCAGAUUAUAGUAGAGAGAACUCCAGCGAAGGCUAAAGAGGGAGGCCGCCGACAAAGAAGAGAGUCGAGGGAAUGAUUUUCAUUCCAGACAAGGGAGUGAGAGAGAGAUCAAAAGAAAAUAGAAAAUUUCUUAGAGAAGGCAAAGGAAUUAGGACGAUCCUGAGCAAAAGAGAAGACAGAAAGUUCAAUGGUUCGGGACAGCGAGAUCCUUUAUCCUGCUACCUAUAACAGAGGUAAAAAGAUUAUUUCAUAAUUUUAAUUAAUUUUUUAUUUAAAUCAAUGUGAUUUUGAUUAAUGGCAUCAAUUGAACCAUUUUCUCAAGUGUAUUCAUGCAAAAGCAGUGUUUUAUGAGGAUAUGCAUACAAAUAUCAACGUUGGAUGUAUAUUCACCUAAAUUCUAAUAUUUAAAAGCAUAUUCAUGCAAAAACCCAAGGAUUUUUUUUUUUUUGCAUAAUACCCUCCUAAAAAUGUAAAAUUGUAGGAAUACCUCACAAAGUUGCUAUUUGAAUGUGUAUCCUUACAAAUAUUUCUUUUUGCAUGCCUACUCGUUGAGAAUGUUUCAGACAUUUCAAUUUUAAAUUGCUAAUUUCUUACCGGUAUUAGAUGGCAUAGGUAAAUAUGCAAAAAAAAAAGGGGAAAAAGAAUAGUAUACAUGCAAAAUAAAUGUUUUGUAAGAAUAUACAUGCAAAUAUCAAUUUUGAAUGUAUAUUCACAUAAAUUCCAAUAUGUAGGAAGGUAUGUAUGCAAAAAAAUCCCUAAAUAUUUAAUCUAAGCCACUUCUACCAGAUUUAAUUAAGGUUAAUCACCUCGCAGCAUCAAUUAAACUUCCUAAAUCAUAUAUAAAAUCACAAAAUAAUAUGUCAUUUUGCCCAAAUUGAUUUAUCGCCAAUAAAAAAAAUUACAUGUACAUAUGUCACAACGUCAUUAGAUUUUUGCUUCCAAUCAUCACCGUCAAAGGAGGAAAACCAAACUUUUAUAUUUUUGAAUUACACAAUCGACAUAAGAAGGUACAGAAACAUGAAAUACUAAAGGUGGGGGUGACAAUGUACAUUUACGUGUUGCUUUCAUAGUAGAAAAACCAAUUACACCCUUCCAAUAGUCAUUGAGAAACUCAGCUUUCUUUGUACAUAAAAGUAUAUUCUUUUUGUAAGUUGCGGUUGGCAUUUAUCAACAUUAGCAGAAGCUGUGAAGAAGUGAUGUAGCUAUGGUGUCAAGAAAAGAAGCAAUACAUAAAAAAGAAAGUUAUAUGAUAUUAUAUGAUACAAAAACAUUAGUGCAUAAUGAAGUAUCAAAAAACUACAUGACAAAAUGAAGAAACACAAGCCAUGUGAGAAGAGUUUAGUCUAUGAAGGCCUUAAAGAGGCCAAUAAUAAAAAGUGGGGUUGGAUGAAGACACUAUAUACAGGGGAAAAACAUCAGAACUGAGCACCAAAGCACUAGUCUUUUAAGCAUCAACAAUCGAUUCAAGAGCAUGGUUUGACAAAUUCAUCAUCAGUAAUUUGAUUAAGGUACUGAACAAAAUUUGGAUAGCAUUGAACUCGUUGCUUCACAAAUUUUUGCAACCCAUUAACGAUAAUCAGCAUAUAAUAUGCAUGCAUAAUGCUUUUGCAGCUUAAUCAGUUGAUAACAACUGUCUUGUAUUGGAGUUAUAUUCCACUCAACCAACAAUUCAGAUAUGUAUUUAAGUGUAAUCAUUGAUAGCACCAUAACAACUCAUAACAGCAAUUGCCUGUUGAAGGAACUCGUGUUUAUCUAGCUUGGUAGUCCAUCAAGUUCCAGCUCUACAGUUCUACAUAUACCAAAUAAAAGAAAUAGGCACAAAUUUUUAACCCAAAAAUGUCUGCAGACAUGAAAGAGAAAAUUAAUCAUAAACCAUGUUGUUAGAUACACCUUUCUUUGUUUAUGUUCUCCAACAUAUCUUCUAUGCAACCAUGCUGUCGGAUAAGCUUCAAAGCUGUUUGCCCUCCAAUACCUAUUUCAAAGGCAUGCAUUGACAGCAUUAUUACCCAGUUCCUGUGGCAUGCGUAGUGAAAGCAAAAGAUAAAUUCAAAAAUUAAAUGCAUGAUGACAAUAAUAAGUUUACACUAAUAGAACUAAGAUUGUUCACAGUCCAAUGAAUUAAACCACCUUCCAUGAGCACUUUCUUUGCAAGGCAGAAAGCUUCAGAUGGAACUGUAUAAUAUUUUCUAAAACAUUAAUUAAGAGAAAGAGAUUAAAGAGUGUAAUUAAUAUGAUGUGCAUGCAGACUCGGCCCAUAAAUAGGCAUAUACAUACACCAAGAAUCAAUGCUGAGCCCAUAGCUGCACCUGUCAUUAGUAAUCUUACUAUUGCUAUUCAAGAAAAUGUGACAUGAAGUAUGUUAUUGUAGAUAAUACAAUGGUGAUUGACAGGUUAAGGAUAAGAUUGAAUGCCAAUAGAGUUACAAGGACAACUAAGGAGGAUAAGGGUUUGAUAUUCAAUAGGACAUGAACAGCAGCUGAAGUUUGAGCAGCAAAAAUCAUUAACUUUUUAUGAUAAUCCGAACAUCUAUUCCCUUAUCUCUAUGUAUCCGUUAAUAUGUACAUUAUAAUUAUUAGAAACAUGACCCAUCCCCCCAACCACAUGGUGUUUUUUUCGGUUGGCUAUACUUUUCCUUCUGCUCAGCCUAAAAUAGGGAUAUAGGCAAAAUAUGUUAGCAGAUGGCACCAUAUUGGUAAUUGAUUGUAAAUUUAUAACUACUAAAACUUCCUUUUCACUCAAAAAACCAAAAGAACUGUCCAACUAAGAAGGAUGGAGCAGCAUAUUAAAUAUUUGAACUCCACAUUGCGUCAUAAAGUUGUAGUUAGUAUAUAUAAAUAAAAAUGGGGGCCCAUCACACAAGGCUCACACCAUUGUAGGGCCUAGAAAGGAUUAGAUGUAUGCAGCAUUAACCCUCGCAUGCAAAGAGGCUAUUUCUAUGUUUUGAACCCAUGACCUCCAAGUCACAGUGGAGCAACCUUAUUGUUGCACCAAAGCUCACCUCGAUUAGUAUUUGUAAAUAAAAACUUAUUUUUUAAAAGCCAAAAUACCUUUAAUACUAUCACAGUAGUCACAUCCACUAAGAAUGCACAAGUCGAUGAAUUGGUCCAUGGUGAAUUCUAGUUCCUCUAGUACCUGAAACUUAAGCAUGAGAUCAAAAAGUUCAAGAUAAAGUAACAAGCAUUACACGGUCUACAACGUAAGGCACCUUUGAGACUUCAUAUUCCAUCACAGGGACUUUUUUUGAGCUUGGAUCCAUUAAGUGGCGAAGAAACCUAGGGGCCCCAAAAGUUAGUGAAUCCAUAUCCUCUGAGGCCACAGCAUACACCUAAAUGUUAAAAUAAUCAUGAAAUUAUAAACCUGUAUACAAUAUUAAUAUAAAGAUCGAAAUAGCAGUCACUAGCCAGCACAUUAUUUUCAUGCCUUAUCGCUUUUACAAAGUGCUGCACACUCUGCUUCUGCUUCAGAAGGUGCCUGUGGAAUUUAGUAAACAAGUCAAAAAAAUUUCUAGGAUAAGGGAAAACAUUUAAUGUGCAGAAAACAGCAUAAACUUUUUUUGUCAUAAGUAGCUCAUGUCACAUGCCAAUAGGUAAGCACUGUCAUCCUGGCAUUCUGGAUGUCACUUUUCCAAGUGUUGUAGUUUAGUUUAGAUUAGUCUUAUAUGGAAAAACAAGUUCGUUUGCUGCCUGUCAUGCCAACAUAAACUCUUCUAAGUAUGACACAGUAGCUCAUUGAUGGAUAAAUGCAUGAAUGAGUUCAAUAAAAAUAAACAAAAUUGAUCAAGUUAUCUAUAUAACCUCAAUUACAGGCACACCCAUCAGUCUUAGAAGUUGUUUACAGUCUUCAUUGUGUUGCUUCGUAACCUGCCAGAAACAAACAACUUCAGCAAAGCCCAUAAACUUAACAUUUGAAUUUUUUUUUAAACAAAUGCUCCAUAUGAAUCAAGCAUCUGUUAUGAGUUCUGAUCACCAAAGAGAACAUUUUUCUUUGAACUAAAAAUACAUCUAUCAUAGUUUUAUGUAGGAAAUUCACCUACAUGGACCACAAAUAUCAACAUUAUAAUAGACAAAAAUAAGUCACAGGAGACAAUGAAAUGUUACUGUGGAUUGUAGCCAAGUGCAUGCAUUUUUAAGAAUCCAAAUAUUCAGCCACAUAUUGACUAUGAAGCAAGUACCAAUGAUGGCAGCAAGUCAACAUACAAAACUAUCCAAACUAUUGAACGUUGUUUGAGAUGUCAUGAGUUGAAAGUACUCAAACUCGGUACUCCUUUCCUAUACCAACACUUGGUUAGAUAGUUAUCAAACUUGUAUGUAGCAGCCUAAACUUUGUAAAGACCCUCCAUUGUCAUGAUUUUAGUAAGGCUGGAUACAGUUGAGCAGGAAACAAUUAAACUGGGCACCUAGGUCUCAGUUCCACAAUAGCACCAGAGUCUGGGAUAUUCUCAUCUCCUCCAACUAGGAAAUAAAAUGCUCAUGGUUCAGUGCCUCGGAUGGCAGAGUAGUUUUUAUUGUUACAUUGAAUGCAGUCAACAAAAUAAAGAUUCCCUGCUGCUUUGUUUUUACAAUACUUUCUAUCGUUCAACAAGACAACAUCAUGCUACUGUGGUAAAAUAUUCUGCAGUUGCUGUGUAAACGUCAAUGUUCAAAAGUCAAAAGUAAAUUGUAGUUAAGUUCUAGAAAUUUCAGAAGUUUGAAUCUUUGGGUCGCUCAAGAAUAAGGUAAUCAUUUCUUGAUUUAUAUCCUUUGAAAAAUAAAAUAAGGGAUGCAAUAGUGGGACAUUGAAAACCACCUUCACAGUCCUUUUGCUGAAUUUUUCAAUGCUCUCCUUAUCUCCAUCCUGCAAAGGGAUAAAAAGGAUAUGGGAACAACUUCACAAAGAACAAAGAAAAGUAUAAAGGGAGAACACAGCAUUCUAAAUUGCUAUUCAAUGAAAGAUAGCCACUUACCUCUAUUGCUGUACUCAAAUCCUUGGUGGCAUCUUCCCUUCUCGAGAACCUGCAACCUUCCAAAUGUAGCUCAAAAUAUCAAAGCUAUAUAAAGCAAACUUCUUAAACCAUACCUCUUUGCAAGUUCUUGUUUCUUCAGAUCUGGUGGCUGACCAUCAAAAACAUAUCUGGCAUAAUAGAUUACAAGCUUCAGCAAGAAAAUGCAGAAAAUGCCUUUAUGAAUAAAACAAAUUAAAGACCGGCAUUGUGAAAACGGCAAUGGUCUUCAAGAAAAAGGGCAGGAAGUUACACUGGCUUGAUUCCAGCCUCCAGCAAUCUUAUUGUCCGGUUGAACAUCCCUUGCAAGUGACUACCAAGUACGAAUAGUCAGACAAAAAGAAAAGGACCCCACGGAUUGAGACGCUCAGUAGAGAUUGCCGUACCAAAAUUCAACUAUUAUCGGAAAAUAAAAUUAAAAAAAAAUAUCAACCUUGUGACUUCACCGGCCUCAUUGGUGAGGGUUUCCAUUCCCGUCCUUCCCACAACAAUCUACCGACAAAGCAUAAAAAUCGAAACUUGUUAGAAACCCAAAACCCUAAAACUCAUCUAACAAAGGAAGAACUCUUUUCUAGCGCCAAACCCAAGGAAAACAAGUGAAAAGAAUAAGGAGAAGAAAGAAUUGAUUCUGCAAACUGGAUUGCUGCCCUAACAGAGACAAGGAGGAGGAUUUAUCGACGGACGAGGAACUGGUAGAUGCUCAUGCUGGCGUCGAUGGCGAUCUUCCGACCGAAAUAGCUCUCGAACUUUUGUUCCUUCAUGGCCUUCGGAGCGUUGUCCGCGAGAAGCUUCGUCAAACCCUAGCACACAGAGAGAUAGCGGAAGGGACGGAGACCAUCAGAGGAAGAGGAAGAGGCAUUGGGGUUCGAAGGAGGGAUGGAUGGAUCCAAAGCACUAACCUUUAUUCCCAUGGCGGAGCGGCGACGGCGGGGCAGUGCAGGGAGGAGUUCGGAAAAGAAAUAAGCAGGGGCUUCGAAAUAGAGUCCAAACUCUCGAAGAAGGAAGCGAGGAACCAGCCCUACUUUUCCCGCCUACGAGAUGGGGACGGUUCAGGCCGCUGCCUAUAAAUGCUUGACCCGGCAUGCUUCGCCCUCGUCAUUCGACAUUGGAUCUCGAGGUCCAAACAUAUUCCGCGCCGAUCGUGUUGGACAUUAACUUGGUCAAGUAUCAACUUCUCGAGGAACGGAUAGAGGUGUACAUGUCUUGACUCGAAUCAAUUUGAGAUCAAUUUUCAAAUUGAAUUGGUUGAAACUAAUUUUUAAAACUAAAAUCGAAUCAGUCAUAUAGAAAAUUGGUUCAAAUUCAAUCAAAAAAUCUAUUUGGUUCCAUUUUAAUUUUUUUCUAAACAUCUAAAAUGGGUAGCUUAUACGAUGGACUAAAUAAGUAGGGCCAGAAAAAAAUAUAAGUGAACUGGCAAUGAUUUAUAUAUAAUAUCUAGAAAAAAUUAUAUGAAGACCUUCUCAACUUUAAUUUCAUUUUAUUUACAUCCUCUAUAUUUUAAAAGUAUCAAACUGAUAGUUCUAAUUAUCGAUAUUUUUUAAUAUGGUUCAAUUGUCUAUCUUCAUUAGCAGAAUUUUUUAAAAUGAUAAAGUUAUCCAUAUCUUCAUCUCCUCCCUCUUUUCUCCUCUCUGGUUGAUCCCAUCUUCCUCCAUUACCGGCGUCCCUCUUUCUCUCCAUCCUUCCUCCACUCAUUUAUCCUCAUCUUCUUCUUUUUCAUCUAUUUCUUCUUCUCCUCUUUCUCUCUUCCCUUUUCUCCUUCCCUUUUUCCGUCCAUUCCUCCAUCUCCUCCUCUUCCUUCUUAUUCACUUCUCCUCCUCAUCCUCCUCCAAGCCGCUCAAAAACCAUCCCUCUUCGCAUGGCCUCCUCCACCUUCAUCACUUUUUGCCUUUCCAAUCUUCUUCCUCUCCAGUCUCUUCUUCUCUUUGUCCUCCUCCUCCAUCCUAUUCCCUGCCGGCGAUCCCUCUCUCCUCCUGUCUUUCUUUCUUAUUCUCUUUCUCCUCCUCGUCCUCUUUCUCUUCCAAACCAACCCAUGAGCUUUAUCCCUUUAGAUGGCCCCCUCUACAUCCGCUCCUUCUCAUAGAAAAAAAUCCUUCUCUCUCACUCAUUUUUUUCUCCAUAGCGGCUCCCUCCACCUCUUUUCCUUUCUCCUUAUAUAUUUUGCCUCUUCAUCCUCCUCUUCCUCCAAACCAUCCAUAAGCCAUCCACCUUCACGGCAGCCUCUUCCACCUCCACCCCAUUCUAUCGAUAACAUAUUCUUUCCUCUCUUCGUCCUUCCCACCCUCUUCUCCUUCUUAUCCUCCUUCUUCAAUAACUCAUUCCUUAUCGACGAUCCUUCUCUCCUCCUCUCUUUCCUCUUCAUCAUUUUUUCUUCUCAUUUUUUUUCUCUUCUAAGCUCAUCCAUGAACAAGAGGUAUUUUAAUCUAUUGAGAAAAAAAUUUAAUACUGUUUAUUGGUAAAAUAAAUAGCUGAACCACAUCGAAAUAUAUUGAUAACUAGAAAAAUCAAUUUGAUACUUUUUAAAGUACAGAAAUAUAAAUGAAAUUAAGUUAAAGUUGAUGAGGUAUUCCUAUAUUUUUUUUCCAAUAUCUAUGCAUAUAUUUCCUUAAAUCAGUUCAAUCUAAAUCAAGUUUUUCAAAAUCAAAAUCAAAUAGAGUUUUUCAAUUUCUAAAAUUUUUAAACCGAAAUCGAAACUAAACCAAAUAUAAAAAAAUCAAUUCAACAUUGAACCAAAAUUAGUGAUUUGAAUCGAUUUUGCAAUUUGAUCAAUUUCCUUGCACACCCCGGAAACAAGUGCAGCAUCCAUAAAGAGUAUGCAACUUUGCUUCCAAAGAUUGCUUCAUCUCACCAAAGGUGAUUGUUGCCGUUAACUCCCGAACUAAUGCUAAAAUUGGCAAUUCUCAAGUAGACUAAGGUGAGUUGCUUGGGAAGGAGAUUGGAUUUGCAACAAAUCCCUUGCUAAAGCUACUUCCGACAGGGACCUCCAACACUUAGUGAAGAACCGAAGAACAAUGGAAGGAAAAGAGCUUGUGCUCCUUAUUUAUAGAUGGAGAUAGGUGACCAUUUUUGUGGUGAGCGGCAGCUGUAAUCAUGAAGAUUAUGCUCCAUGUUCAUUAUGCAGCAAGCAUAAGCUAUCGCCCUAUAAUUUUGGAAGCCUCAUCGGCACCGUUGGGAUCAAAUAUUGAUUCUAUAUGUAGAUGGCAAGUGGUAAGCCAUUUCACUACUCCACUUCCUCUAUCCACUCAAUAAGAUCCGUAAUUUCAACAAACUCUAGAAUGUGCAAGUCAUUAUCCUCUAACAAUCAAAGACAUCGCAUCUCUAUAGCUCUGGAAAAAAUGGGAUGUGUUCCCUCAGACAACAGGUACCCGCUUUUAUUUAUAAAAUCAAACUCCUCAGGACCCUCCAGAUGAGAGAAAAUGAACACUUACUCCAUUCUCCACUUGCUUUCUCUCUGAGAUAAAUCCCAUACAAAUUGGAAUAUAUCUCCUUCGUAAAGCUCUGAUUAAUUCUAACUUCAUCUAUGAACUCCAUCUUCCAAACGGCGUCCUCUAAAGUCUAAAUUAUUUCUCUCCACUCUUUUACAACAACCUAUUCUACUUCAUAGUCGAUUUCCCUACAAAAUUCUCUUUAAAAACUUAGAUCUCUUCUAUUUGCUUUUACAGAAGACUGACUUAAGCAUCGGAGGACCCACCACCGGGGAACCCUUAGUGUGAGGAUUUUUCUUCUUUGAUGGUGUUGUAGAAUCUGAUUCGAGGACCGUGGACAUGAAGCAACAUCCGAUCCGAAGGUCUUGACCAAUCGUCCUAUGAUCAUCUCUCUCUUGACUUUAGCUCAUCGAUCAGAGCCAGAUCGGCUAUCUGGCAACAACACCUAGUGAAAACUAUAUAACUAACACACACACACACCCAUACAUCAGAAUGUAUCUUUUUAAUGAUUUUACCGUGAUCAAAAUAUCAAAUCAAUGUUUAAACAAGACCUGCUGAACAUGGACCCCUCUCUCCUUUCCUCCUGCAUGUGUUAGGAAUUGGCAUCUGAAAGAAAGGGUCAGAUCCAACUAUAAAACACAAGAAAAAAAAUAUGCUUCUAUCACAAAAGAAAAAGUAGAAAAUAACAUAGUUAGAAGAGAGAAAAUUAUGCAGAUGAAGUGCGCCAUUUGGGCAUUUAAAGCAUCCCACAUUUUCAGAAAAGAGUCAAAAGACAAUUAGAUGGCUGAUUUUAUAGCAUCAAUGCUGUUAGGAUUUGACACCUCGAGAUUCAGCUUACAUUGAGCCCACAGUGAGGUUGGCGGUAAAAAAUGGAGUCCAACAAGAUUAAGUCACCCAAAACGAAGUUCGGACGGAGAAGAUAUGAGCUUUUGAAGUCGGCACGAGACCCGAGGCGGUGGAGGACCGCCGGCAGNNNNNNNNNNNNNNNNNNNNNNNNNNNNNNNNNNNNNNNNNNNNNNNNNNNNNNNNNNNNNNNNNNNNNNNNNNNNNNNNNNNNNNNNNNNNNNNNNNNNNNNNNNNNNNNNNNNNNNNNNNNNNNNNNNNNNNNNNNNNNNNNNNNNNNNNNNNNNNNNNNNNNNNNNNNNNNNNNNNNNNNNNNNNNNNNNNNNNNNNNNNNNNNNNNNNNNNNNNNNNNNNNNNNNNNNNNNNNNNNNNNNNNNNNNNNNNNNNNNNNNNNNNNNNNNNNNNNNNNNNNNNNNNNNNNNNNNNNNNNNNNNNNNNNNNNNNNNNNNNNNNNNNNNNNNNNNNNNNNNNNNNNNNNNNNNNNNNNNNNNNNNNNNNNNNNNNNNNNNNNNNNNNNNNNNNNNNNNNNNNNNNNNNNNNNNNNNNNNNNNNNNNNNNNNNNNNNNNNNNNNNNNNNNNNNNNNNNNNNNNNNNNNNNNNNNNNNNNNNNNNNNNNNNNNNNNNNNNNNNNNNNNNNNNNNNNNNNNNNNNNNNNNNNNNNNNNNNNNNNNNNNNNNNNNNNNNNNNNNNNNNNNNNNNNNNNNNNNNNNNNNNNNNNNNNNNNNNNNNNNNNNNNNNNNNNNNNNNNNNNNNNNNNNNNNNNNNNNNNNNNNNNNNNNNNNNNNNNNNNNNNNNNNNNNNNNNNNNNNNNNNNNNNNNNNNNNNNNNNNNNNNNNNNNNNNNNNNNNNNNNNNNNNNNNNNNNNNNNNNNNNNNNNNNNNNNNNNNNNNNNNNNNNNNNNNNNNNNNNNNNNNNNNNNNNNNNNNNNNNNNNNNNNNNNNNNNNNNNNNNNNNNNNNNNNNNNNNNNNNNNNNNNNNNNNNNNNNNNNNNNNNNNNNNNNNNNNNNNNNNNNNNNNNNNNNNNNNNNNNNNNNNNNNNNNNNNNNNNNNNNNNNNNNNNNNNNNNNNNNNNNNNNNNNNNNNNNNNNNNNNNNNNNNNNNNNNNNNNNNNNNNNNNNNNNNNNNNNNNNNNNNNNNNNNNNNNNNNNNNNNNNNNNNNNNNNNNNNNNNNNNNNNNNNNNNNNNNNNNNNNNNNNNNNNNNNNNNNNNNNNNNNNNNNNNNNNNNNNNNNNNNNNNNNNNNNNNNNNNNNNNNNNNNNNNNNNNNNNNNNNNNNNNNNNNNNNNNNNNNNNNNNNNNNNNNNNNNNNNNNNNNNNNNNNNNNNNNNNNNNNNNNNNNNNNNNNNNNNNNNNNNNNNNNNNNNNNNNNNNNNNNNNNNNNNNNNNNNNNNNNNNNNNNNNNNNNNNNNNNNNNNNNNNNNNNNNNNNNNNNNNNNNNNNNNNNNNNNNNNNNNNNNNNNNNNNNNNNNNNNNNNNNNNNNNNNNNNNNNNNNNNNNNNNNNNNNNNNNNNNNNNNNNNNNNNNNNNNNNNNNNNNNNNNNNNNNNNNNNNNNNNNNNNNNNNNNNNNNNNNNNNNNNNNNNNNNNNNNNNNNNNNNNNNNNNNNNNNNNNNNNNNNNNNNNNNNNNNNNNNNNNNNNNNNNNNNNNNNNNNNNNNNNNNNNNNNNNNNNNNNNNNNNNNNNNNNNNNNNNNNNNNNNNNNNNNNNNNNNNNNNNNNNNNNNNNNNNNNNNNNNNNNNNNNNNNNNNNNNNNNNNNNNNNNNNNNNNNNNNNNNNNNNNNNNNNNNNNNNNNNNNNNNNNNNNNNNNNNNNNNNNNNNNNNNNNNNNNNNNNNNNNNNNNNNNNNNNNNNNNNNNNNCAACUCAAAAAUUAGACGGUGGCUGCUGUAGCGACGGCCGACAGCGAUUCAGAUAGAGAUGUCUUGGAGAUAUCUGACAAGGUAUCUACUUUUUCUCAGCAGUGGAUAUUAGAUUCUGCAUGCCCCUAUCAUGUAUGUUGCAGAGAGGAGCAGUUUGACUCUUUGGAGAACAGUGAGGGCAUUGUAUAUCUGCCGGAUGGAUCGAGCUGUGCGAUCAGAGGCAUUGGGACGAUCAGCUGGAGGACACAUGACGGUGCAGUGAGGAGAUUGGGGGAGGUCCGAUACAUAUCCGAUUUUAGACGAAAUUUUAUCUCACUUAGCAGACUGGAUUCGAAAGGCUACAGGAUGGUAGCCGGUGGAGGAAUUCUAAGGGUGCUACGCGGCGAUAAGAUUGUGCUGGAGGGGAAGAAGGAGAGCAGAGGACAUUAUUACCUGACGGAGAGCCCAGUGCGAGGUGGAGCUUUGGGAGCCAGGUGGAGUCCAGAGUGAGGUGGAGCUCUAGGAGGUGGAUCGGGCACGAGACAGGAGACUCAGAAGGACAAGAGGCGACGUCGCAAGAUAAGAUUCCUAUUGCCGCAGGACGAUGCUCCGAGCAGGUCUCAGGUCAGGAGGAGCACAGCAUACGACGAAGAUGGGAUCGAACAGCCUGGCUCGACUUUCAUGUUUGCCCAUCCAUGAUCAGCAGGCAUUUGCCCCAGGACAUAGGGGCGAGGAGAUUCAGAAGCUCUCGAAGUUUGAAGGAGGUCGAAUAUCGAGUCGAGGUGGAGAUUGUUAAGAUUUGACAUCUCGAGAUUCAAUCCAUAUUGAGCCCACAGUGAGGUUUGCGGUGAAAAAUGGAGUCCAACGAGACCAAGAUCACCCAAAAUGGAGCUCGAACAGAGAAGAUACGAGCUUUUGAAGUCAGCACGAGAUCCGAGGCGGCGGAGGACCGCCGGUCGCUGGCAGCGCGGUNNNNNNNNNNNNNNNNNNNNNNNNNNNNNNNNNNNNNNNNNNNNNNNNNNNNNNNNNNNNNNNNNNNNNNNNNNNNNNNNNNNNNNNNNNNNNNNNNNNNNNNNNNNNNNNNNNNNNNNNNNNNNNNNNNNNNNNNNNNNNNNNNNNNNNNNNNNNNNNNNNNNNNNNNNNNNNNNNNNNNNNNNNNNNNNNNNNNNNNNNNNNNNNNNNNNNNNNNNNNNNNNNNNNNNNNNNNNNNNNNNNNNNNNNNNNNNNNNNNNNNNNNNNNNNNNNNNNNNNNNNNNNNNNNNNNNNNNNNNNNNNNNNNNNNNNNNNNNNNNNNNNNNNNNNNNNNNNNNNNNNNNNNNNNNNNNNNNNNNNNNNNNNNNNNNNNNNNNNNNNNNNNNNNNNNNNNNNNNNNNNNNNNNNNNNNNNNNNNNNNNNNNNNNNNNNNNNNNNNNNNNNNNNNNNNNNNNNNNNNNNNNNNNNNNNNNNNNNNNNNNNNNNNNNNNNNNNNNNNNNNNNNNNNNNNNNNNNNNNNNNNNNNNNNCCAACCCGUGCACGGGCCGGCCCAGGCCCAGGCGCCCUGCCUGGGCCCUGUGCCCCAGUCCACCGUGGAUCGGGUGGUCCACGGCUGGGCCUGUGGACUGUGUGGGCAUUUCUCACGUAUUUCACGCGGUCCACAGUACUAUUAUGUGGACCGGAGCGCGAUCGGAGGGCCUAUAGAUGUUUCGGUUUUGAUCUGACGGUCCAGGGGGUUAUUUGGCUUUGUUUAGGACUCCUAAUCCAUCUCUAAUCAGGAUUUAAGGGUUUGGUUUUUUCUGCUGUGGACGCCGUACGGAACCGAGGAAGAAAAGGAAGCGUGCGUUGCUAAGAGAGAAGGAGCAGCAGGCUCCUGGACAGCGGACGCCAGACACUUCAGGGGUUUAGGGGGGUCUUUCAAGAGAGAGAGCUUUUGAGAGGGGAACUUUUAGAGAGAGAAAAUUGGAUGUACAAGAGUUGAGGAUGAGGUCUCCUCUUGUAAAAUUUUUUUUUUCAUAGCGAAGUUUGCAUGUCUCAUGGAGGCGAGCUCUUUUAUGGCUGAUUCACGUAUUUUGAUUGUUUUUGUUUUGUUUCUUCUUUCUUCCUGCUACAUCGCAUGGUACUGAAAAAGUUUUGGAAGAUAGUGUCCUGGCCAGACAUCCACCCAAUAAAUGCAAUCCAAGAAGAUGUUUGUCGGAAGCAAAGAGAUACACUUCCAUCUAAGUUCAAUUGUUUGUUAACGACAAAUGCUUGUAGGGCUGGUUUUGUAAGAGUCUGAGCCUAAUUUUCACUUUGCACAAGGAAAAAAAAAUGUAAAGAGGACCGCUAUCAAGAUAUCAUUGGCUUAAAUCUUGAUGACUUAGCCAAAGUUAAAAACAUAGUAAAGUAGCAAAUUUGAUGGACUUGAGAAGCUAAUUUUCCAACCUCUUUUGGAUGCAUCACGCUACUGCUAUAGCAACCGAAAAGAUCGGAUAUUUGACAUCUUAGAAGAAAAAGUUUGAGCUCAACGUGGCAGUGCUGGUGGAUGAAUGGCCUGUUUGGCCAAGCUUUUGAGAAAAAAGCUGUUUAUUUAAAAAAAUAUAUUUAUUUUGAAAAAAAUAGGUUGUUUGGCUUUUUUUUUUUUUUUUUUUUAAUAAUUUACUUUUGAGCGGUAGUAAAAGCAGUUUUUCUAUUACGAGGAGGAAGCAGAAAAUUGGAGCUUCUCCUUGAAAACAGAAGCAAAAAAUUAAUUUUUUCAAAAUAAAAAUAUCCUCACUCAAAAUUAUUAUUUACAAUAACUACCCUUAUUUAUUUUCACAUAACCCUUCCAUUAUUCUAUUCAAUAUAUAUUAUUUUUAAUUCAAUUAUAUUUUUAUUGAUUAAAAUUUUUAAUAUUUUUUGUUAUUUUAUUUUUAUAUUUUAAUUAAAUAAAAUAAAAAUUUAAUUAAAAUUAACCAUAAUGAAUAUUAAAAAAUAUUUAUAUAUUUAAAUAAUAUUAAUUGUAAAGUAAAUCUAUACAUGUCUUUUUUUGUAAUUUGACAGUUAAAAAUACUUUUUUUAAAAAAAAUUUACCCAACAUAAACUGCUUCGUAAAUACUGAUAAAAGUAUUUAUCAAAUAAUUUUGCCAAAUACAAACUACUUUUUUCUUACAGUACUUUUUCUGAAACUUCAUUGGAAAAGAAGUCAUUUCAAAAUAAGCUGAUUUUUAUAGCUUGGCCAAACAUGCCGAAGUCACCCCAUGCAAGAGCUUUUGCAAUAACUUUCGGGUUGAAGUUGCUUUCAGCCGAAUAGUUAAUAAUUUCUCCAUAAGCUCAAUUGGUGGAUGUUCACAUAAGACUAAUAAGGUUGAAGAUGAAUUUAGUUGAGGAAGAGAAAGUAUAUAGAGUAAAACCACAAACUUUAGCUAAAGUAUGCAUUAGAUUUUAAGACCAUAUGUCUUAGAUUAUUGUUGGCAGUAAAGCUCUUGAAAGUAGAGCUUUUUUUAAAAAGCUGUUUGCUGUUUAGUGACUAUAUUUAUAAAAUAUUUUAAAAUUUUAAUAUAUAUUUAAUAAUUAAAAUAAAAAGAUAUUUUUUAUAUAAUAAAAUAAUAAUAAAAGAUAUCACAUGAUAUUUUAUAAUGAAAAAUAAUAUAAUAUAUUAUUAUAUAUUAAAAUAUUAUUAUAUUAUAUUAUAUUAUUAUCAUAUAAUAAUAUAAUAUAAUAUAAUAUAAUUAUAAUUAUAAUAUAAUUUAUAAUAUAAUAUAUUGAUCAUAAUCUAAUUUAAUAAUGGAUUAUAAUAUAAUAUUAUAUAUUAUAAUUAUUAUAAUAUAAUUAUAUUAUAUCAUAUUAUUAUAAUAUAAUAAUAUUACAAGAGAUUAUAUUAUAUGUCUACAACAUAAAUAUUAUUAUAUUUUAAAAUAUUAUUUUUUCUAUAAUAUUAUUAUCAUAUAACAUAAUAUAAUAUAAUAUAAUAUUAUAAUAUUAUUAUAAUUAUGAUGUAAUAUAGAAUGUAAUAUAAUAUAAUGGACUAUAAUUUAAUCUAAUAAUAAAUUAUAAUAGAACAUAUUAUAUUAUAUGAUUAUAAUCUAAAAUAUUAUAUUAUUAUUAAAUAUUAUUAUAUCAAAUUAUAUUUUUAUAAUAUAAUAAUGCUAUAAUAGGUUAUGUUAUAUAUUUAUAAUAUAUCAUAAUAUUAGUUUAUUAUUAUAUCAUAUUAUAUUUAUAGUAUAAAAUAUAAUAUGAUAUGAUAUAAGAUGUAAUUUUCAGAUUUGUUAGUAGGUAUUUCUAUCAUUAAAAAUUUUUAUUUAAAUAAAAAUAGCUUUCUGGCAUCAAUCACAAAAUAUUUUUAGAAAAAUUUCAAAAUGAAGUUUUUUUCAAAUAAAAUUUUUUAAUUUUUUGAUAAAAUCAAAAUAAUUUUUUUGAUUUUUUAUUAAAUAUCACUGUACAAUCUAAAAAGAUUUUUGAAAGAUCAAAAAUUAUUUUUUGAUAUUCUAUAGACUUAGCCAAAUAAGAUCUUAAUUUUCUAUCCUCCUGGUUAAGAUGACCAAAACCGACCUCUCAAGAUAGCCGAUCAGUAAGUUAGCCAAGCAGUUCCAAUACGUGUGGAACUAUAUUAAACAUUGCUAAACUUUUGUAGAUUUCUUUUACAUAUUAUAAUUUAUUAAAAUCGAAGCUAUUUUUUUCCAUCAAAGAGAGAGAGAAGAAAAAACAGUAUAAACUUGCUCCAAAUAAGGAUGGCAAUCGGAUCAGAUCAUAAAUGGAUCGGAUCAUAAAGCCGUCAAUCCAAACUUGACCUAUUGAUUAAACAGGUCGAAAUUUCAAAUCUGAAUCCAAUCUGUUUAUUAAACAGAUAAUCCAAUCUGAUCCGUUUAACUCGUUUAUUAAAUAGAUCAAAUUAUAUUAAAUGGAUUAAAUAGGUCGGGUUAAAUGGGUCAGAAACAUGUUAAACAAAUUUUAAAUAGGUUAAACGGGUCUUAAAUGGGUUAAACAGAUCGGAUUAAAUAGAUCAAAAAUAGAUUAAAUAGAUUAUUUGACUCAAUUUGAUUUGAAUAUUAAAUGGAUUAAAUCAAUAAAAUAUCUAAAAUUCAAAUCUGAUCUAUUUAUUAAAUAAAUUAAUUUAUUUAUAAUUUAAAUUUAUUUAAUUUAAAUUUAAAUUUAUUUAUAAUAAAUUAAAUAUGAAUCAAAUUAAUGAAUCGGAUAAUAUUUUGUGAGCCCCGGCUCGGAGGGCUUUCAAUUUCGGGCGGCGGAUUAACUAGGAAGUUCUCAAGCACGGUGCGGUCUUAACGUGCAAGGCGGGUGGAGGGCUUCCACGUGACACCCGGCGCGCUUCUUUCCUUCGCCAAUCCCCGUGGGCGGCGCGCAUAUUGGGGCACCGCCGCUCACGGUGCGCACGUUAGCGCGCGAGAGCGCCCGUUGAUUAGCAGCAUCCCCUCCCCGCCCAUGGCACCGCCGCUCCAGGACCUCCGCCGCCUCCUCCGUGGCGUCUCCCUCGUCGCCCUCGAGGCCGCCCGCCGGUCCCCGGCCCUCGAGUCCGCCCGUGCCGGCGACUUUGAAACCCUAAUCUCCAGAACCCUCAAGAGCGCCGUGGUCUCCGCCACCGAUAUCGCCGGGCUCACAAGAGGGAGGCCGCACCUGGUUUCCGCCCCCCGAACUAAGGAGUCCAUCGUUUAUUUCUCCGACCAAGUUCCCGAAGAGGCCGUCGCGAGAUCCGAACACCAGCAGGGCGGUUCCAGGGAGGCUCCGGCAGUGGAGAUUGAAGAGAAAGUCCUUACCUCGGAGGAUUCCAAGGAUGCCAAGGCUAGAGGCGAAUUGAAGGAUUUGGACGGAAAUUGUGGGCACAAAGAUCAAAUUUUGGACGCUUCGAGGGGAAGAAGCGAUGGUGAUGGUGGUGGUGGUGGUAAAAGUGAUGUAACAGUCGUUCCAUUGAAGAGGAGGCGGCCGCGGGAGAGAAGAGUCCCAUCGACCCCUUUUAGCAGAGCUCUUGGGUGAGUCAAGACAUUCUCUCCAUCCAUCUGGUAACCAAUUAGCUAUUCUUAUACUUUCUUCUAUAACGUUAGACCUUGAUUCAAAUUUCCAUUAGAAGACGAAAUGGAUGACAUUUUCUCGAUGAGGACCACUUCUAGGGCCUUCAAAAACACUAAUUUUGACUGGCAAAUUGCUUCCUUUUGAUAGCAUUGGUGAAUUCUGCUCUUCGUUGGUUUUGCAGAUUCUCUUGGGUAAAUCUCCACUGAACGUGAGAUUUACAGUUUCAGGUAGUCCCAUUGAUGAUAUAAUUCGUUUUUAUAAAUGUUCUUUUCACACCGCUUAAGGAUUUAAAGCGUUGGUUUAACCCAUUUCUUUUUAAAAUGUGAAUCCUAUUUAUUCUGUUCUUAGAACUCGGAAAUUCCAGGGAUAAAUCAUCAUCAUAAUCUUCAUUAUUUGAUAUCAUGAGCUUAGAUUUCUCCCUUUUUUUUCGUAAUUCUGAAGGUUUGCUGGUCUGGGUGCUGGGCUUGCAUGGGGAACAAUCCAAGAAUCAGCAAAGAGGAUCGUCUUUGGUAUGCCGAAAACCGACGAGAAGCAGCCUUCCCUUUCACCAUUCUUAUCAGAGCAAAAUGCAGAACGUUUGGCACUUGCACUGUGUAGAAUGCGGGGGGCUGCUCUGAAAUUGGGCCAGAUGUUGAGCAUCCAAGAUGAGACCCUUGUGCCAGCACCGGUAUUAUUCGUUUCUCAGGCUUUUAGUUUAGUCCCAUGCUGCUAUACAUUUUUUACCAAUACAGGCUAAAUAAUUUACUUGAGUUGAUUUCUUGUGGACCAUAUUCUUCGGCAACUAAACAGCAUAUUGAAUCUUCAUGCAUGUAUCUAUGAUUUGGUAUAAUGGAUUUGAUGAUAUAACAAAAUUGUUACUUCAGAUUCUUCUUCAAGUAUAACAAUAUUAUUAGAACAAGAACUGUCAGGAAACUCUGUAUACUAGCGAAAAGUUGUCACCAUUGUCCAUUAAUGCAUGGAAUUACAUAUAGUGCAUUAACUUUAUCAUAAGUGCAUUCAUGGCAUCUUUUUUAUUUUUUUUUCUUCUCCCUGAUGCAGAUUUUGGCAGCUUUAGAAAUAGUUCGUCAAGGUGCUGAUGUGAUGCCAAGGAGCCAGCUCAAUGAAGUCUUGGAUGCUGAACUGGGUCCUGAUUGGUCAUCUAAACUUAGGAGCUUUGAUUAUGAGCCAUUGGCUGCUGCUAGUAUUGGACAGGUCAUUUCAUUCCCAAGUCAUUUAAAGUUAACUAUGUGGCUGAGACUUAUCUUUCUUCUUCUCUCAAAAUUAUUCAUUUCUUUUGCCAUGUCACAAGAUCAAAUAAAUCAAUUCUUAAAAGGCUUAGUAAUUACAUUUUCAAGUACCUAUCUGUUUAAUCUAAUUUUAACUGGAUUUGUUUCAGUUGAUUUUUGUUUACUUUGAUUUUGAAAGGCAAUGUACCUUCUUCUAUUCAGGUUCACCGGGCUGUUAUGAAGGAUGGUUUGGAGGUUGCUAUGAAAAUACAGUACCCUGGUGUUGCAGAUAGCAUUGAAAGUGAUAUUGAGAAUGUGAGGCGGCUUCUAGAUUAUACAAAUCUCAUCCCAAAAGGGCUUUUUCUUGAUAAAGCUAUGAAGGUAAAUUGAUUUAUUUUGAUAGUAUUUUUGAUGUUGAUUCUCUAUAAAAUUUUUAAUUAUUCUGACCUUAACUGAUUGCUUUUCAACCAUCUAAAUAUUCUGUCAAUAAAAUUUGUAUGGCCCUUCCAAGUAUUUAGCAACUAUGAACACUCUUAUGCAAUUGUUCAAACACAUUAUUUACUUCAAAUCUGCAAAUAGUCUCAGAUUUCUUUCAUUUCCAGUUUUAAAUCCAAAAUAUCGAUCUUUAUAGAUCUCAAUGCCUCAAAACUCUAAAGAAGGAAAGAAAGAAGCUUUCUUGUUAAAUUAUAAAAAUAAUCAUGGGUAAUGUUGAAUUUUUUGCAGGUGGCAAAAGAGGAACUAUCUCGAGAAUGUGAUUAUGUGUUGGAAGCCACAAAUCAAAAGCGAUUCCGUGAGCUACUGUCAGGUUCAGAAGGAUUCUAUGUUCCGAUGGUCUUUGAUGAGAUUUCAAGCAGAAGAGUGUUAACAACAGAGCUUGUCACAGGUAAUAUACAUCCACUAUGUAUCACUUCUCUUUCCUAAAUAACUGAAAGUUUUGGAAUCUGAUCUUAUCCCAGUUUGUUAGUGUAUUCGACUGUAUCCUGAGCCUGAGGUGUGCUUAGCUGUAAUAUGAAAGAUAAUGUUCAUUGUCUCUAUCAUUUACGGUUUCUAGCAGUAUUACAUGAGUAUUCUAUAGACUUCUUCACUGUAUCGAUUGCAUUUAUGAUGUAUGUUAUUGCUUUUUGUUGCUAUGAUUCAUUUUCUUUAGAUUUUAAGGCACCUGUUGCUUCAUUGGGAGACAUGGAUUUGUGAGUUUAUUCAUUUGUUUUCCUAACAACUGCUUGUGGUUGCACUUGGAAAGAUAAGUCCAAAUUAAUCUGAUUGUUGCAACGUUUUAUUAAAUAAUAUAGAGUUGCUAGCGCUAAGUGAAGGAUGGCAGUGUGUAUGAAUCUAGUGAUAUUGAAUACUUUAAAAAUGUGGGGCAAGAGCUUGAUUUCAUGCUAGAUAAAUCCUUCUAAUUUGCACACGUUAUUAGGCUCCCUUUCUCAGAAACUAUUGCUCUCUAUAUUUUCCAUUUGGAAAUUUAAUCUCAUUUUUGUAUAUAUAAACUUUGCAUUAAAGAGAUUGGAUAUAAGGGGAUUUAAAAUGCAUGGAUAAUUUGGAAAAUUAAACUGAAUGACUGACUAUUUUGAUUCUUUGUGUACCAUCUCGUGAGGCAUAUUAAUUUUGUACCCCUUACCCCGCAUGCUAAUUUAACUUUGCUCCUUAUCCCAUUUAUUAGUAUUUUUCUGACCAGGCAUUUAGACCUUUCUUCAAACAUUUUGGUCAUUUCCUUGUUGGAAAUAUGUAACAGUUGAGUUCUCAAAUGAAAAAUGAGAAUUGCAUUUCUUUAAAGUGUUCUUAACUUGCUGAAGAUGUAUAUUCCUUGGAAAAGCUUUGUAGGCUUUCUCAAUGCUGAAAAUUUGGUAUUCAUGACAGGUUGCUUGACUAGACUUGAGUUGUUCCUUAAUUGAACUUUUCUCUUUGUCAAAAGACAAGUCAUAUUCCUCUCAAAGUUUUAUUUAUUAAUUUGUUUCAUUUUAAUAAUUAAUAAGAAAAACCAAUAUAUUCUUGUGUCGCCUUUUCAUCAUGGAUAAAGGUCAAAAGUUUGGACAGACAACUUUAACCAGUUUUUCUGACUUCCUGUUUUCCUAUGCUCAGGAAUUCCAAUUGAUAAGGUGGCACUAUUAAGUCAGGAAACUCGUAACUAUGUUGGAAAAAAGUUGCUCGAGCUGACUCUGAAGGAGUUAUUUGUUUUCCGCUUCAUGCAGGCAUGAUCUCACCCCAUUAUAUACUUCUGUCCUAGAAAUCAAAUAAAAACAUCAAACCCCCAGUACGUUCUCCUGGGACUUAAAUUGCUAUGAUUAUGUCCAAAUAUUUUGAUUGAACAUGCAUGAUGCAUGCAUGUAACAUAUGCAAAUGUCUGUGCAUGCACGUGGUGGUUUUGCAAGAUAUUCCGAAUGGAUCAAGUUUUAGCUUAUUAUCCGUUUCUUAGGCUUACCAGUGAAAGAUGUCCCCAUUGAAUAGUUAUUUUGCAUUUCUUCAAAAGAGUUUUGCUAUUCCUUUCCAAAUAUUGCAUUUCUUUUUCUUGAUAUUUUGGGAGCAUCAUACUUCUGUGUGAUGUACAUUUGGUUGUUAUUGAUAGUUCCAUAGUUGAAAUGUUGCUGCCACUGUAAUAGCUAUCAUAGGAUUGCACAAUUUGGCUUCUAUGAUCUUGUGUAUCCGUUCAGUUAGUUUUUCAAUAUUUCUGUUUUAACUAGUUAAUCUCUUAUGUUUGCCUUCGUCCUGUGCUUGUAUGUAAUGAUGUCCUGGAUUUGUUCUCAGACGGAUCCAAAUUGGGGGAACUUCCUUUAUGAUGAGACUGCAAAAAUGAUUAAUCUCAUUGAUUUCGGGGCAGCUCGUGAAUACCCACAGCAUUUUGUAGAUGAUUACCUGCGAAUGGUAUGCACCCUGCAUUUUUCAUGCAGUCACUUUCUGAGGUUUUCGAAGUGACUACUUUCUCACUAAAUCUUUAUGCAGGCCUUUAAAUCCUUAUCUAUCAAUUAUAAUUUUUUAAUGUUUUUGUGGUUCUAUAUGAUGAGAUAUUUGAAACUAUAAUAACAUCAGAAGUGGUGAAAUGUAUCAAAGAUAAUGCUAAAAAAACAGGUUUUGUAUUGAAAAAUUUCACUUUUCCAAAACAUGUCAGAAGAGUGAUAUCUUCGCAUGAAACAUUUUCCUUGAGCUCUUGGUGCUAAAAUUAAUUUACCUUGAGUGAGCAGGUGAUGGCUUGUGCAAACAGUGACAGAGACGCUGUGAUAGAAAUGUCCCGUAGACUAGGCUUCCUUACAGGUGAGGAAUCAGAGGUCAUGUUAGAGGCUCACGUCCAAGCUGGUUUUAUUGUCGGGCUACCCUUCUCGAAACCGGGCGGCUAUGACUUCCGUUCGACCAACAUCGCUCAAAGCAUCUCCAGCCUGGGGGCAACGAUGCUGAAGCACAGGCUAACUCCACCACCUGAUGAGGCCUACAGUCUGCACCGAAAGCUCUCUGGUGCGUUCUUGGCUUGCAUCAAACUCGGUGCUGUGGUGCCAUGCAGAGAGUUGUUGCUACAAGUUUACCAACGGUACCAAUUCAGCAAUGAUGAUGCUGAAAUUUUGUCCGGUUCAGUCUAACCUUUAUUGAUGUCUUAUUCUUGACCAGUACAAUAAUAUUAUGCUGCAGUGGGCAGCUCAAUUUUUUUAGGCCAUUUUUUGAUUUGGCAUCAAUGUUGACAUCAACAUGGUAUAUGGCCUACUCAAUCAAAAUACUUUGUAUAGGCUUGUGCAUUCUUGGUGCUUUUUGUGCGGAGUACAAUAUUGUUGAAAACCUUGAUUCAACCUUGCCUAUUUUUUAAUUAUAUUUUUACCAAUACUUUUUUUUUACAGAGUACCUAAUUUUUUUUAGAGUUCUUUCUCUUUUCCUAUCCAUUUAGAUGGAGACAAAUUUUUGAGCAACCAAAAAUAAAAUAAAUUUGGAUUAAUUAUGCCAAAAAUUUUAUGAUUUUUUUAUUUGUUAUUUUAAAUUUUAAUUUAAAACAAUCAAAUUAUCAAACUUUCAAAAUUUUAUAAUGAAUACUUUAUUGUAACUUCGUUUGGGUGGUUGUGUGGUUGUGACGGAGAUGGUCAUAUAUUAUUACAUGCUGUCAAGAAGUUGUUGAUGUGGCAUGUAAAGAUGGAUUUAACCUUGAACUUAGUUAUCCGUAUUUUCAUGCUUUUUGGUUACUAGAGAUUGGUGAUGGCUGCAAGAUGAGCAAAAAGAGUAGAAAGAGGAGAAUAAGAAGGGUACCUGUCUCAUCUCAAAUGCAUAAUCCAUUCGAAAGAGAUGGCAUUAAGGAAAGUCACAAAAUCAUCAUAUGAGUCUCCAACUGCAAGUCUGCAAUAUGGACUCAACAAAAAACUAUAAAAGUUCAGGUUAGUGCUAGUGUAGCUUUGCACCUAAAAUCUGGAUGUCAUGGAGUCAUGACAACUCAAGUUAAAAGUUUAACGAAUGUCCAAACUAUCAAAUGAGUGUAAUCAGUAUCUUAGAUUUAUAUUUUCAAUUUUGCGGAUGUUAAACUAUGCUAUCAUGGGUUGUUUAAUUGUAAUAUUUGUGGGUGUUUACAGGUAGAAGAAUGAUUCAUAUGGCGUGUAUUUCAAUAUAGGAUCAAGCAAAAGCAACUUUUCUUGAGGUCGGUAGAAUACCAUCUGCCACUUCGGUAUAAAUCCAGGAUCGAUCGAGUAUGUGUGAGAUCGUAAACCUCGGGAUAGUGUUUAUCCAACGUUUAGGAUGCUUUGUGAUAAGCUGGGGUUGGCAUUUUCUGAUUGGCUUCCAUCUGGUGAGAAGAUUGGUUGUUAUUCGAGAUCAUAGACUUGUUGUUGCUCUUAAAACUAAAGCUAUUUUAUGGUUAAAGUCAUCUCAUCCUAGACUGAAGUACUUUGAUCCAUAAAAAAUGACUCACAUCCUAACGCUUUUUGUACCAAAGAUAGAAAGAAAUCAUUUCCAUACAUUUUUCAAUUUUUUAACCAAACACAGGGGAGGAUGGAUGGAAGACCCAUCCAUCCUCUCCCUCAUCAACUUUUCUCCCCAAUCUAUCCUUCUUCCAAUCAAUCCUUCGUACCAAAUAGAAUUUGAGUGUCUAGCUGAGAAGAUAUUAGUUGACUAAAUCCACCAAUGAGCAUUUUCUUCCGGUAUUUAAAUGAACUCUUAGUGAGCUUAUACUAACCUAGCUUCCACUUUCCUCACUCAAGCAUCUUGCCAUACUUGAUCCCUAUGAGUUUGAUUAAUAUUGAUAUUAGGUGGGUAAAAAUCAUAGAGAAGAUAGUCAAACUAAUUAAUAUCGAUAUGAACCUUAGUACAAAAUUUCUCUUAAUAUUUAGCGAUACAUAGAGCCCACGACUCUUAGGUAGCCUUUCUUACCUUGGCCUUUUUCUGCUUUCAUUAGAGCCUCCAUUAUACAGUUGCUUAUUAGUUCUAAUAGCUGCUAAUUAUUCUAUUAUUCUCCUUAUAAGCAACUUUGUUUGUCUUCUUGUACCGUCUCUACUAGUUAUAACCUAGCAAAACAUUAUCAAUUAUUAUCAAACAUACACUAAGUUGAAAGGUAUAUUAUGAAUUAGAUCACAACCUGAUUUUUCCUUAAUCUACUCUUAGGUCUCAUUGGUGCUGCAUAAUGGGUCAUAUCAAUUGAUGAUGUCUCACUUCCUUUAAGGCAUCCUUGCAUGUUAUGAUAUCUUUGAAAGUAUAUUUGACAUGUCAUACAUCUUUGAUUUCUUGAAAGUUUCUUAAGAUACUUAGACUCCUCGUAUAGAUCCUUCCUUUUUUUUUUUUAAGGUCUGCUUGGUAUUAUUCUCGCUUUAUAAAAUUGUCUCUCAUAUAUAAUUUCAUACUUUUUGUCUCUAUUAUAUAUUGUCCUACACCAUCUAGUUUUCACAUGUCCUUCUCAAUUUUUUCUUGAGUUUGAGGGUAGAUUCUUCUAUGCCACUUGACAGUAUAUUUCUCCUCUUUGCCAUGCUGAUCAUUCAUGGCCCUUUUUAUAUCUUUGAGUAUCUCUUUGAUUGGCUUCUUUCUUGUUUGUAUUACAUACCUAUUGAAUGUUCCUUGUCAUGUUAUUGUUAAUGACAUCACACUAUAGAAAUGGACUGAAAAGGAUUUUCACAAAAGUUGUUGGAUUUACAUAUAUGAAAUCAUUUCAUGCUUCCUCUAAUAGCUCUUUCAACUCAUCCAUGAGAUCAAGGAAGUUAUCUUUUGUUGUCCACUUUACGGUCUAAAAGAUAUGGACUUAAAAACUUUACCCUUAUACCUCCUCCAAUUUUUAUAUAUAUGUUUUGUAUAGUGUUUGCAUUUAGCAUAUGGUAGUAGAUCACUUAUUGUUUGUACGAAACUUUACAUUGAGUAUGUAAUAAAAAAUAAAAUUAAAAAAUAAUAUAAUUUAUCAAGUACCUAAACUAUGAAGUUUUAUGUUUAUUGGUCGUUGAUAACUAUCUAACCCAACUCAUCUCAAGCCUUAGAUUUUUCAACCAAAAGAUUGACGAAUCAAGAUGAAGAGUCUUUGCAUUCCACCUCAAUCAGAACCGUUGCAAUUGGGAACAUCUGGUUAUUGGCAUCUCUAUAAUAGCAGCUAAUAUCUCAUCCUUAUCUAUUUUAGAAAGCAUCUAUUGAGACCAAAUAUGGGUAUGCAAGCUAUCAAGAAGCCUUUUCUAAAUGCUUCAAAUUCUAGGUACAAUAUUUCAAACUCCACACUCCAUUAUCAGUCCUUUUAACCUUCGAGAUUGCUAUGGUGCCCUUAUUGCUCUUAAUCUUUUCACAAUCAUCAACUAGCCUUGGAUAGUACUUGUAAUGAGACCUGCUACCUCCAAUGCCAUUUGUCUAGCUCUUCAAUAUUUAUACAUAUUUACAUCUAUUUCAUAUUUUGUCCCGAUGUCAUACUUCAUCUUCUUAGUUUUGUAUGAGAAUAUAUCCUUAGCUUCUCUAGAAACUCUAUUACAAUCCAUUUGUUGUCAUUUCCUAUUUUUGCAUGUUCUUACAUGUCUACACUCUCAAUAUAAGUUUUAAAUGAAAUUUAUCUAUAGUAUUCUUAUAUGAACAGUGUGGUCUAAAUAGACAACCACUAAAUAUAAUUUAACUUUUGCUCUAUUACAUUUAUUCUUACUAAACCUAACAUCAUAUCUUUGUAUAAUACUAUACUAUACCACAACAUUUUUGAACUGUUCAUUGCAUAUCAUAACUUUUGUACAAAAUUUAAUAUCUUGUAUGUCCGUCUUUGGGUUGAAAUAUGUCUACUUUUUCUCUUUUUAAGCUUAGCAGACUCAUUUUAAGAACUUGAGUGAGGUGCAUCAAACUCUGAAGAAUUAUGAACUAGUGUAUUCUUGUACUUCAUCUAAAGUACUAGUAGAAUUACUUGGUAAUGUACUCACACUUACAAGUGGUGGCUGUUCUCUCUGUACCUCAUUAAUAAUAUUCUUAUUUUUAUUUCUUGCUUCCUUCACUUUGUUCCUCAUAUUUAUUAACUUUUCAUUAUCACUUAAUAGCUCAGGAUUUCAUUGGGAAGCAUUCAAGCUCUUGAUCUCUCUGCUACUUUUUCUUUUUCUUUGCUUCUCAUAAAUUCCUAAGUUUGCUUCUUUCCACCCUUUAGUUGCCCUAAUUUUUCAUUCUUUUUUCCUUAACCUAAACUCUUUCACCUCUCUUUUUGACUACUUCAUUGAGUGCCACCUCUUCAUAUUUCACAUAAAUAUAAAUAAUAUUCCUUGUAUCUGAUCAAUCUUUAUCAUCUCUUUAAGUCGAAUAUCUUCAUAUACAAUCCUCAUUCUUUUAUCAUGAUUUAGAAUAGACACCCUAUAAAAUAUACUCGUAACUUUAUCCUCACACCGCUUCUUCACCAUAUCUUGCAACCUAUCAUAGCAUAUGCUUCAUAUGUCAUAGAUGUCAUAAAAGGCUGUACCUCCUCCAACAUAAUCAACAUGUUCACCCAUGUUGACAAAUUUGCUACUAUAAUGCACCACUAUGGUGGCAUUGUCCAUUAUGCAUGGUAUAUGAAACAUUGAUUAUUUAAUCCCAUUUGAAAAAAUAGAUUAUACUAAAUAGAUUGGGUUAUAUUAAACAAAUUGUAACAAAUAUAAUUAUUUAAUCCCAUUUGAAACGGGUGCAUAGAUUUGACUAAAAAGAAGAUAAACAUUUUGGACCAUGUUCAAUUAAAUAAUAAAGAUUUGGAACCAUAUAGACAUGACAAUAACAAAACUGCUCCUAAUCAUUGAUAUUACUCACAAAUCAUAAUUACUAGCAAAGUUUCAAAAUAAGCUAAUAUUUUCUUUGUUUUUCAAUAAUGUGAAAGAUGCGGGAUGAAAAGAUAGGGGGAAAACCUAAGGGAUAUAAGAUUAAAGCAUAAUAGAAAAAUCUAAUAUAGCUAAUGAUAUUACUUUUAUUACUAAACUAGAGAGAAAGCCCGUUGAUUAUUGUCACUCAUUGCUCAAGGAAAAAACCACCCCUCACCCUUGCAGUUGUUGCCAGUUUCUAAUUGUUAAUUGGAAAGGAAGGAUAGAAUUUGGAUGGGAUUAGAAAGUAAAAAUCCUAGCCAAAGAGUCACGAAAAUGAGAAAGAAAAUCUUAUAUACAUCAUUAACUUUUGAUAUUCAAUGAUAUCAUGUGACUAUCUCCAUCAAGACUAUCUAAUAGAAGUUAAGUUAGGAUAUCAAUUAUAAAAUAUUGAAAGUUUAAUGGUCUGAUUGUAUAAAAUUGAAGUUCAAGAUAAAAAAUAAAAAAUUAAAAAGUUUAUAAGUUUCAACAUGAUUAAUAUAAUAAAAUUAUAAUAUAAUAUAAAUUUAAUAUAUGUUAAGACUAUUAAUAUUCAAGAUAUCAUAUAUUUGAUACAUGUAUAAUGUUGUCACGAUAGAUAGAAUCAAGCCACAUCUUACAAAGGACACAACUCUUAUAAUCUAAAAUUGAUUUUUUUAUUUUUUUGGCAAUAGGAUCAAUUGAGUUACAUGAUGGAUUUUGAUUGCCACAAAAAUAAUUCAAGAUUCCUUUCUAUUUGUAACAAGCCUCUUUGCUUCAUCAGAUGCAAACUAUAAUUAUAAAGCUGGUAAGUGUGUUGCAAAAGAUUUCUUGCGAUCAGCCUGCAAGGGAUCUGCGUACAUGAAUGCCUCAAAGUUUACCCCCCUCUUCUGUAUUUCUCACGUGAGCGACACGUGCAGGAGAUGAACCCUUUGUUCCCGCUUCGAAGGGAAGAAGCCAACGCAGACGAUCGAGCGAUCCGAUCGCCCUCGCGAUUCGGUGUCUCCCUUCUUCGUCUCUCUGUUUGUGUGUUUGCGUCGAUGGCUCCCAUGGGAUCGAAGUGGGCUCUGAUUCGGCCCUUCUUCCUCAUCCUCCUCCUCCACUCCCUGGCCAUCUAUCUCUUCACCCGCGGCUUCCUUCUCACCCGCACCGAGCUCUCCGCCUACAGCCGCUGCUCCGACCUCUCCCACUCCCCUUGCUCUCCCGUUCACAACUCCUCCUCCCACGACGACGGCCGCUGCUGGACGAAGCCCGCCGUCGAUCGCCUCGUCAUCAUCAUCCUCGACGCCCUCAGGUGACCCCGCCCCUUCCUUCCCUCCCUCCCUCCCUCCUUUCGUCUCCAAAAAAAAGGGUUGCCCUAGCCCUUUCUUAGAUUCCGCGUGGUGGAUUGAGACUUCCGACUGAUAAAGGCUUGGAAUAAACUGGAGACUGAUGGAGUGAGAAUUGAUGUGAAGUUCAUUCCAAAAAUUACUUGGACUCGGGUUGGAUUUUGACUCCAAAUCCAAUUUUGUAGGAAAAAGCGGCUCCUUUGCUUGAUUUCUUGUUUAUUUUUCUGGGCCUUUUUUUUUCCUCCGAGAAGACCUAGAAGAUGGAUGCGAUGAGAAUUUUUGGGGAGUUAUGCUCCGUUUUCUAACAAAAGUUGGACCCUGUAUUGGAUUCAAAUCCCAAACCCCAAAUUAAUGGACUAAGGCAUCGCUUUCAUUUUUUUUUCCUUUUCGUGUUUAUUUUCGUGGGGGCUUUUCUCCAAGUUCUCAGAGAAAUUGGUCAUCGUGUUGCAGGUUUGAUUUUCUUGCACCUAGUUCAUUCUUCGCAGGUCAGCAUCCUCUCCAUCUACUCCAUUUAUUUUUUCUCUUUUUAAAAAAAAAAACUUUUUUCUGAUCGGAGAGUCCAAAACUCAGCAGCAUCAUGCAUCGUUAAUAAAAUUAGGUGAUAGGUUGAUUACUAGUAGAACAUUUGUAUAGGAUCGGAGAUGAUGCAGGGCUUUUGUUCCAGAUGCAAAGCCGUGGAUGGACAAGUUACGGGUGCUGCAGAAGCUCGCCUCUGGAGAAGGAUCAUCUGCUAGGAUUUUUAAGGCCAUCGCAGACCCGCCAACAACUAGCCUGCAGCGGCUGAAGGUCAACCUUAUUCCCUCUAAGAUUUGUUUUAUGAUGAUUUUUUUUUUUUAAAUUGAUUUGAUUUCAAACAUUAUAUGUCUGGUAAAUCAUAUCACUAUCGUCAUUUUAUUCACGAAUAAUCUAGCUCUCUUUCUUUUUUCCUUCCUCCCCACUAGAUAAAUCUUAAAGGAUCAUCAUCUUGGUUAGUAAUCUCGUGGAUGCUGAAUGCCUUCUUUUUCAUUGUAGAUGAUGAUCAUUUGAAGAUUUUAAAAACAAUGUACAUUAUAUUUUUACGUAUGCAUGAUUCAACAUGUUCUUCUUUCAUGUUUCUGAGUUUCUUGACUUGGAGAACCAUUACAUGUGUUCAAGUGUUCGCUUAACAUGUAAUCAACUAAUGCCUAUAAAUAACCUCAGUUCUGUUGAAAUUCUCUAGGGUCUAACAACUGGUGGACUUCCUACAUUUAUUGAUGUUGGUAAUAGUUUUGGAGCUCCAGCAAUUGUUGAAGAUAAUUUGAUAUAUCAGGUUUGUUCUAAUAAUAUGUUUUUGCGGUUCAUAUGUUUGGAUUGCAGAGAAUGGAAUCAAGGCAAUAUAAAUAUAUAAUUUAAUGUUCAAUAUUGAGUUGAUUUUCUUGCUCAUCCAUUAUUUCUUUCAAUCUUAUCGAUGCCUUCUCUUUAUGUUGUUUAUGUCAAAACAGUUGAAUAAAAAUGGAAAGAGAGUGCUGAUGAUGGGAGAUGAUACGUGGUUGCAAUUAUUUCCUGAUCAUUUUAACAAGUCAUAUCCUUACCCUUCUUUUGAUGUUAAAGAUCUUGAUACAGUAUGUUUUCUUUAAAUAUAGCUUCUCUAUUGUUUUAAAUUAUUAUCUUUUUGAAAAAAAAAAAAGAAUUUAACAUGCAUGCAUGUAUGUUUAUUUUCUUAUUUAUAUUUACUGGUGAUUUUAUCUUUUCUGCAUAUGAUAUGUGUGAAUUGCAUGCUGCAGGUAGAUAAUGGUGUCAUGGAACAUUUGCUGCCAUCACUGUAUAAAGAUGACUGGGAUGUUCUUAUUGCACAUUUUCUUGGAGUGGUAAGUCUGGGUAUCUGUUUUCAAGAUAGUUCUUUGUCCAAGUACACAAUACUUCUCAUAUUUGUAUAAGCAUGCCAGCUAUGCUUGUAUUACACAUAUUACAUACACACACUUCUAGUUUUUGCACUGUGGUAUACUCGAAUGAGUUCAAUGAGUUUGUAGCCUCUUUCUUGCAUGCUAUUAAGUUGUAUGCUGGUAGGUUUCUGAAAUAAGAGCAAGUAAUGACACUUAAUGCAUGGAUCAUAAUGUAGCCUUUUGUUGUCUAAAACUUUAUUUGCUGGUUCGUUUGCAUGUUUUAUAAUGAGAAAAUUGUUUCUUGGCCACAGAAGCUACUAACUCUGUGCAUAUAGAUUCUAGGUUUUCAUCUUGUGUGUUCAUCCAAUUGAAAUCCCAUGUUUCCUUGGACUGCAAGUCCCCUUUCUGCCUCCAAGCAUGGAUGGAAGAGGGGGUUGCAAAUAUCAAGAACACAAAAUUUUGACACUAGCUUUGGCAGAAUGAAAUUCUGAAUUGCUGGAAAAAAGAGGGAGUAGGGUCAUCUGCUAUCCCAAUUUCCAAGACUUAAAAAAAAAAAAUCUCCUGAAGUUCUCUUGAUAACAUAGUUCAACGCUUCUAAAAUAAAAUAACAUGCAUCCUGGCAAGAUUUCUAAUUUUUUAUUUUAUGCUUAUCCAGAACCAUAAGAAGUCAUUCUUUUUUCAAGAUAUUGCACUCAUUUAUAGUUCAUAAAUAUUACACCUUACUGCACUCAGUAAUUAAAUGAUUCUCUGUCACUUACUUUUCAUACCAUCUUCUUUGUUUAUAUUUUGAGUAAUGUAGCAAUUCUUGUGACUCCAACUGGUGUUAGGAUCAUGCAGGGCAUAUAUUUGGUGUUGAUUCUACUCCAAUGAUACAAAAGUUGGAGCAAUAUAAUAGUAUCUUGGAGGUAAAUUUUCUUGAAAUUCAACUAUUUAAAUAUUAAUUUCUGUAAAAACACUCUUGCCUAGCUUCUUUGCGUUUACUUAGAAGCUCAUUAUGUUGCUGCUAGGGAAGAAUAGAGUUUCUUGAAAUGUACUGCCUUGUUAGAUUACGGAAGUUAUUCUAGUGUGUGACUAUCCUUAUGCACUUCAUAAUCCUUCAGUCUUUCCUUCCUGAAUAAUUAACUGCCAUUUUCCAGAAAGUUGUUGAUGUGCUUAAGAGCCAGUCUGGACCUAGUCGUCCUCAUGAGAACAGUUUUCUUCUUGUGAUGGGGGAUCAUGGCCAAACCUUAAAUGGCGAUCAUGGUGGAGGCACUCCGGAGGAGGUUUAUCCAUCUUUUCUUUUCUUUCUUUUUUUUUUCUUUAAAGCAAAUGUUAAUACAUGCUCAAAUUCACCUUCUUGCUAAUUAUACCAUAUUCUGUGCAGGUUGAAACAUCGCUAUUUGCAAUGAGUUUUAGAAGCCCUCCAGCUUCCAGCUUGUCCAUUCUUGAUAUGAAUUCUUGCAAACUUGAUUUGGUAUUUUUAUGACCUCUGUGAAGCUUAUUCAUGUAACUGAUGGAACUGUUUUAUAUUCAGAUGCCAUACCUUGUUGUAAAUGGAAUCUUCAGACCAAAUUCUUAAGCAAUGCCUGUUUGAACUCAUAUUCCAUUUUCAGAUCAUUUGGUUAUGCUGAUUUCUGCCCGUGCCCCUUGAUGUGUAGAACAAAUAAUAUUGCACUAUGGCAUGAGACAGAAACUAAUGCAAAAUAUAGAUAGAUAAAUACAUAAUUGCAGACUUGUAGAUAUGCGGAUAACACAUGCCUACUCAGCAAUUCUCGUGACUCUGAAUUGCUAAAAGAUAGUUUUCUAUAUCAUAACCUAUCUUUUCACAUGGUCUUUAUAUAGUUUUAAAAUAUUAUUAAAAUCUCAAUGGGCAUUGCCUAUACCAAUUAAUUUUUUUGAAGAUUAAAACGAUAUAGCCAUACUGUUUAGAGUAGUAAAAUAGAAACAUUUGCAUUUUCUUAAUAAAAGUGCAUGUUGCUUCUAUAAACUCCCAUGAAAAGUGGAGGAAAAAAUGAAGAGCUACAAAUGAUUUUCAAUUUUGCUAGAGGAUUGAUUUGUUCUUCCAACAUGGGUGGCAUUUUAAAUGUCCACCUAAAUGCUUCCAAGGAAAUUAUCAGCUAAUGAGAUAUAUAGCCUAUUUCACUGUUGUAAAUUUUGUUACCCAACUGGCCCUGUAUUGUUCGUAUCACUAUCAUAUCAUCUUUGAAUUCUCCGACAUCUGAUGUUUUCCUGCACCCACAAACUUUGGACCUUGUCAAACAACAGAUGUGUGUUCACUGAACUAAUUGAAGCAAUCACUUAAAUAGUGAAACAGAACAACCUUUAAUAAUUGAAGUGAUAUUGACUCUUCUGCACUUUAUUUAAUUCUUAUUUCACUUGCUGCUCAAUUUUUUUUCCUCUUUUUAUUAUAUCUGAGAAAAAUAUUAUGAUGCCAGCAUCAGUAGGCUUUGGCAUAAAUUACUUAUAUGUUUUUGUUUUGUAAUGUUUCGAAUUCUUAGGAUGGAGAAAAGAUAUGCAUUAGCACCAUCCAACAGGUCAGAUGCAAUUAUGUUCUCUAGAUUGUUGAUUUAUCAAGACCAUCAAUAGUCUUCAACUCAUUUUAGUUCAAGACUUAUUUUUUUGUUGUCUUUUCUUUGUUGCAGCUUGAUUUUGCAGCAACUGUGGCAGCACUUCUUGGUAUUCCUAUUCCUUUUGGAAGGUACAUAAUAACAAUGACAAUUUAUGCCAUAGCUAUAAUACUAUAUUCAAAAUUUUUGUUUACCUGGAAAUUUAUCUAUAGAUAUAUAGUAUUUUGUUAAAUAUCAGAUAGUCUUACCUCCAGUAAGGUGCUCUUAUUUGAACGGUUAUUUCCUAGGCUUUGGGAAUUUUUCUUAUUUCUCAUGCUCAUGUUUGUGCUUGUGGGAACUGUUUACAAUAUAACGAGUCUUUACCUACCAAAUAUGCAAUUGCAUUUUCUUGGUGCCAUUGACCUAUCUAUUUUGUUGAUUUCCUCUUUUGUUGACAAUGAGCAAUCUGUUACCUGACUUACAAAUACAAAGACUGAAAUGAUGUGCACUGAUCCUCACCACUGCGGGCAUUAACUGACAUGGGUGGGUAGCAUGCCAUAUUAUGCCAUGCCGUGCUGGUUAUGUACCAAAGCUUAUAGCAAAACAUGAAAAGGGGUAAAAACAUGAAAAGGGGUAAUUGUUGGUCCCUGUUGGUUUGUGUCAGUGGACACUGGUGCAGAUGAAUACACAUAAUAUAUAGGUACUUAAAAAUUAUAUCGUGCUCCUACUUGUUUGGUGCAAUCCACAGUGUAUGGUAUAGACUGGUACUUACUGCACCUACAUAUUUAAUAAUAGUUACACCUAUAAAGUAGCCGACCAAUAAUGUAUAUUGGCAUUUCCUUCCAACUUUUCAACAACUGGACCUCUACUGCUGUUAGAAUUUGCAACAUAAAUACAUGACUUUCACAUAAGUUAUAUCUGCUGGAUGCAAUAUGUAUUUUCCCUAUGUGGACUGAUACUAAAUAUAAAUUGGCAUACUACUCAUAGUCUUCUUUAUCUGGACCAUAAUAGCUCACCCUGGAAAGAUUCAUACCAUGUAUGUACUUAUAUACUAAGUCAUCAAGUAGGAAUCUUUAGGAGCAUGAAACUUCAAUGUUUCUGAUUUUUAAUGUAGUUGAAUGAUGUAUAUGUUUUCAUCUUCACCAAAUGCCUACAAAUUUAUUUGCACAGAAUAUCCUCCAAACCACAAAUAAGAGUCAGUAAAAUGAGGAGCAGAGGAUUUCUUAUAAAAAAUGGAGAAUUUCUCUCAACCUCCCUGUUUGUGUUAUGAGCAUGUAAAUCCUUCCAAAUAGACAAACAUAGACACAUGCAUUCACUCACAUAUGCACAACCAACUUCUCGACAUGUCUUCACAAAUUAUGUUGUAUAUGUUGGAUAUUUUUUUUCACCCACUCCAAAUUUUUUGUAGUAAACAUAUGAAUUUUCUGUCUUAUUGAAAACAUUUAUGUUAUUCUGUUUCUAGCAUCGGGCGUGUAAAUCCUGAAUUAUAUGCUUUAAGUGCUCCGACAUGGGAUGGGCAAAAGAUGGGUACUAAUAAUUGCAAAUCUCGGUCAAAUUUGGAAGCUUGGAUGCAAAAUUAUGCCAACACUCUCUGCUUAAAUUGCUGGCAGGUAAUGUUUAUAUCCACUUUUUAUACUAGGGUAGCAUCAUUCUCUGUGUCUAUGGGAGGAACAGGGCUAUAUAAUUCUAUGAAAAUAUGCUUCUAUACAAGCGAGCUGAUAAAACUAAGCUGGAAGAUUUAUUAUUUGAUCUUUUAUUUUUUGCUACUUAGGAAAAUGUGUUUCAGUAGUGAGAAAGUCAGCCUCCAAGUGGCCUUUUAUGUGGUCAACUGUGCAGGGCAUAUCAAUUUCCUGCUUGGGAAGGAUGUUCAAAUAAGUAUAUCAUGUACUUCAUUGUCUCUCCAUCAUUGUCACCUAGAGACAGUGUUUUGAUCUUUCAAUAUCUACACCUGUACAUAACAAAGCCCUCGCUGUGGACAAGGCAAAAUUCUAGCAACAUUAAGAGGAAUGCUAUGUAACAGUUUUCUCAAGGCAUUUUGGUUGAAGGAAUUUCUUGUAAGAUUAUCAUUUCUAUGCAAGGAUCAAAGGAUCCAUUAAAUAUAGAAAACAUGCCAGAAUUACUUGAAAAUUUCUCAUAAGUUGGUGGAAAAGUAGCCACCAAGGUGUACCUGACCUUUAUUUUAUUUUUAUUUAUUGCUAUGCUUAUUGUCACCUUCUGAAACUGAUUUUUGGAGUCUUUAAUGAAAAACCUAGGAUGAUUGGGAUUCUGGUAUUACAAAAAUGGAAAAAGAAAGCUCCCAUUUUUGGAAUUGCCCAAGUAACUUGUUUAUAUGCUGGUUAUGAUCUCUUGUGACAUGCCCACAUUCUAUAUUUCUCAUGUCAAUGGAACUAACUCAUGGAAAUACUUACACAUUUUCCCUUAAAUGGCACAGCAUAAAUGUACAAUUUUCUUCAAUUGCUAUAUAUUAUUAGUUUUGGUGAUGUUGCUAUGGCUAUUAGGAUUCAUUUAAAGGAUGCCUUUUAUAUUAAAUUAAUUCUCUGGCGGUGUCAUGCAUUUCUAUCUCCACUGGGUCUGUGGUAGUUGCUCAUCUAUGGUACAUCAAUGAAUUAAUAUUCAAGCAAUGUGCAUUAGGUCUAGGACCAAAUUAAUUAUGUGCAAUACAUCAUGAAACUGACAUCAAGCAUUCUAUCCUCAUUGAAGGAUCAUCUUGAUUUCAUUCAACAAAGAUUAUCCAAUGUAGCUUGAGCUAUCUCUAAACUUGUUGACAUACUUUAUCAUAUCAUCCUUUUGCAUGGUUGUUUGCAUAAUUAUUAUGGUCUCUUUACCUUGCAGGUAAAAAGAUUCAUUGAUCUCUAUUCUGCAACAUCAGUUAUUGGAUUACCUUCAGAAGACUUGCACCAUGUAGCAGAAUUAUACGCACAAGCACAGACAAGCUGGUCAAAUACCAAAACGUCUGCUUGCUUAUCUGAAAAUGGCAUCUCUAAUGAAGCUCAAGAUAGUUCAGCAUCAAUUCUUCAGUUGCAAAUCAAUGCAUACUCUAAUUUCUUAGAGAGUGUUGCCAAGCUUGCUCGCUCAGCAUGGACUGAGUUUGACUUAAUAUUGAUGGCCACGGGAAUUGGCUUUAUGCUAGUGUCCCUUUCCAUACAUCUUUUUGCUAUUGGAAGGGCAAAUAUUGCAUGUCGGUCAUAUUAUGCUGUAUCAGGCAUUUCUGCCUUUCCUUUUAGUCUCUUUACUGCUUUUCUUUUGGUCAUAAUACGUGCAGCCAGUUUCCUAUCGAACAGUUACAUAUGUGAGUUCUGAAUUGCUUUUGCAUACUCCUGUAGGUACAGCCUUCUGUCAAUCUAAUUUGUUCAUUCCGUUUCUAAUUUUCUUUUUUCUUUUUGCAUUAUGAAAUUUAGUAAUGGAAGGAAGAGUGGCAAACUUUCUUCUGGCUACAACUGGUAUUCUCAACUUACGAUGUUCAGUCAGGAAUGGGAAGUUUUCAAAAGAUGUGAGUAUCAUUAGUAGUAGUAAAGACUCGAAUAUCUUCCUGUAUUCAGUUUGUAAUAAUGUUAUUGCUGAAAUUGUAUAUUGUGGACAUGUUGAGUUUCACAAUGUACUGGAUUUUCUGAGUUUGACUUAUACUGUCACUUUGCAGGAGUUUUUCUUUCUCCUUAUAAAUAUCAUUAUUAGAUAUGGCAUUGAAUUUGGGAUGUCAAAGCAGACUGUUGGUUCAACAUCUUUGAAUACUCAAUCUUUGAAUAUACUUGGUAUCUAUGAGGGUCACCCUCUUUGGAUGAUGCUGUUGGAGAUGUUACCAGUGAUUAUGUUAUCCUUACUGGCAAUCUUGCUAUACAAGUGCACUUUAGGGAUAUCUUGUUGGCGAUACUUGAAAUAUCUUCUUAUAACGGGUACCAUUGUUAGCUAUAUGCUCAUCUCAGUCCAUUGGGUGUUGGAAAGCAAAUUAAUUGCUUUGUCCAUGGUGAUUCAAGAUAUUGGGAGGAACUUGGCACCCCGAAUAGUUUAUGCUGUUGGAUUAGGGCUACUAAUAUCAUCAGUGCUUUCUCGGAUUUUAGGCCAGAAAGAUAGGAAUUUAAAUUCGAUUGCAAGUUUGACUAUUUCAACUAUUUCUAUGCUUUCUUCAUGGAGCCCAGCCAUCUUGAUUCUUUUGGGAAGGCAAGGUCCGUUCGUUGGUUUGAUUUGCAUAAUUGGAGGUACUUGUUUGCAAGUUUUAUGUUUAUUGCUUAUAAUAGUUCUUUUCAGCACUUUAAUUCUUUAAAUAACAUGUUCAUAUUGGGACCAUUUUCAUAUGACAGCAUGGUGUAUUAUAAGGUCCAAGAAUGAAGAACAAAUAAACUCCAAAAGUGGGACUUCGGGAGGGUUUGUCAUUAGUCCUAUUCAUGUAACACAAUGGAACCUCCUAGCAGUUUGUCUAUUUUUUUAUAGUGGUCAUUGGUAAGGUACCUUCCAUUUGGAUGCAUUUUGAGUAUAUCAUAUAAUUACUGAUGAAAUCAAAUCCUAUCUGUCUUACAUUGUGCAAUUGUAAGCUUUUAUUGUUGUUCAGUCAAUUCAAUUUAUUUACUUCAGCAUUAGUUAAGCUUCUUAGUGCGUCAUAUAUGAUUUACACCUGAAAAUUGCUCUCUCUCUCUCUCUCNNNNNNNNNNNNNNNNNNNNAGUCUCUCUCUCUCUCUCUCUCUCUCUCUCUCUCUCUCUCUCUCUCUUCCAGUGUUUAAGCACAUGCAUGCAGAUAUACACAGAACAAAUAGUCAGAGUUACUGGUGUCUUGCUGAUUGUUGACAAGAACACAUCUUUUCUCCUGAAACUGACAUUACUAACAUCAUUGUUGUUGUUUGUGCAACAAAUGCACUGUGAAAGUUGUGGUGCCUUUGCAUCUGUAUACAUGAAUGAUGAAACAACGUAAAAAAUGGUGUUAUGUUCAUCUUUAGAAGACUGACACUUGAGUUCAUGCCCCAUGUAUUGCUUUGUUUUCUGUUUAAUACACAUAUGGAAUGGGUUUUCUACAAGUGCGCUAAAUGCAUUCAAUAGAUAUGCAACCAUUGCACACGAUGCAUCAGUUAAAAGUCAAGAAUACUCAUAUUUCCAAACAUUUGCUCGAAUGAAACAUGAGGAAUUGCUUUGGUUAUCCUGCAUGGAUUGAUACCUAUGUGCAUAAUGUAUAAUUAAAUGAAUGCAUGCACAUAUACUAGUAUGAUUUGUUGCCCAUGUGCUAAAAGUUGAGUCUACAUAUGAAAACAUAGAGGGGCAAUUUUUCAAGAAUAGAUAUGUUGCAUUAUGAACAUAUCCUUAUGUGGUAUGACUGAUGGUGAUCAACCAUCAGGUUUGGUGGGGUCAAGUAUAGAAGAAGAAAGAGAUAGAGAGAAGAAGAAGAAGAAGAAGAAGAAGAAGAAAAGGGGAAAGAAGAGUAGGAGAAGAAGGCAGGGGGAGCGGGCAACACAAUGUUCCUUGUAUUUUUAAUCAUGCAAUAUGUGUUUUUAAUUAACAAGCAAUGGAUUUAUAUAGACAACUCAAAACCCGAAUAAGAGUCUGUAUAAAAUAAAAUUCCAGAGUCCAAAUAAAAUUUUAGAAUCCCAAUUUUUUUCUAUUUUUCAAAUAAAAUAAAAUUUUCUAAUUUCUAUAUUUGCGCUUAACAUAGGUGCGCCUAGAUUCCUUAUUAAUGGACGACCCUUCAUCAUACUUUCCUAGUUGAAAGGAACUUAAUUCCAGAGAGUCUGAUUGCAAGUACCACUUUAGAAGCUUAGAAUCCAAGAUGUGAAACUCAUCUUUUGUAAUUCAAGAAGCAUCAGAUGAAGGGCAGCCUUUCCAUAGAACAAGAUAAUGAUGGAAGCCAUCAUCAAAAGAAGUAACAAUGUCAUCAUCCAAAAUUGUCUCAGUCUCAUCUCAUUGCUGAGGAAAAUGUCUUAGGAAUUGAAGUAUCUGCAAAAAUGCUAGAUGGCAAAGUUGGAGGCUUAAGGGUGCCUGGGUAAAGUAAUAAAUCCUCCACAAUGAAAAUAUGACAAAUAUUUAUAUGACCAGGUAAAUCAAGUAAAUAUGCAUUAUGUCCAAGGUUUCUAAUGAUGGGGAAUGAGUUAAUGGCUCCGGCACACAAUUUCUUGAAGGAUUUUUUUUUGCAAGGAUUUAGGAUGAAUAUGAACCAUGAUACUAUCUCCUACAUUUAACUUCUUAGCCCUAUGAUGCACAUCAAUGGCAAGUUUAUAAUUUACAUCACUCAUUGCAAUUUUGUGCCUAAAUUUAUUGUUUAAGGAUAUAGAUGCUUUUUCUAACAGGAACUUGAGGGGUUGGUCUAUUCUUAAGCCUAGACUCAUUACUUGAGGGUUUGGCAGGGGUUAAAAUGAUGUUCUUGCGCUUAUACUUAAACAUAUAGGUUUUCCCCCUACCAAGUUUGGUCACCUAUGUCAUAAAGCCAUGGGCGCCCUAACAAAAAAUUACCUGUAGAUAGGUAUCACAUCACAAUACACCUCAUCCUCAUAGUCUCCCAUUUUGAUGGACUUUAAACAUCCCUUAGUCAUAGGCAAGGUUGUCUUAUUAACCCAGAGUAUCUUAAAAGGCUUGGGGCGUGGCUCUACUUUAAGGUUCAAUUUAGUUACAUCAGUCUUAGAGGCCACAUCCACGGUAUGACCUCCAUCUAUGACCAACGUAGUAGAUCUCUCAUUGUAUCUACCGAAGGUGUGAAACAUUUCCACUCAUCAUUAUCCACAAUAGUAGGCAAAACACAUCUCACUAUAUUACAAUAGCGGUCAUCUACCUCUUAACCAUCAUCAAACUCUACCUCAUCGCUAGAAUAUUUUAUGGGGUCUAUUACUUGGUCCUUGGGCUCUUGUGGAUCAUCAGACUUUUGCUCUAAAGCUAAAGCUCAUUGAGGACAAUGUGCAGCUAUAUGAUUUCUAUUAUGAUAGUGAUGACAUUACACUGAAGAACCACUAGAAUGAAGAUCACCUACAUAACCACUACGUCAAGUAAUAGCCUAAGAUUUCCUAUUCCUAGCAGCAUUAUUCCUAAAAGCUGACUGGGAAACAAUUUUAGAUUUAGCAAAUCUCGAUUGGGAGACAGGUCUAGACUGACAAGACUCAUAUGAUUGAAGAACCUAGCUGAGGAGUCUUAAGAUACCUCUCUAUGGUGAUGGCCUUUUGAUAGGCCUUCUUCAAAGAAUUAGGAGCAUAUAACUCUACCUCCUUUAUGUUUUCUUCAAGCCCAUUGAUAAACCUCCUAAUUAUGUGGAAUGGAUCUUCCUCUAUCCUUGUCUUAAGCAUAGGCUUAUCAAGUUUUUACAUAUAUUUAGACACAAUUGAGGCUUGCCUAAGGUGUAGAAGCUGAUCAAAGAACAUAUUCUUGUAGUAAGAAAGUAUGUAUUUCUCCAUUAACUUUUGAUUUAUGACUGGGUGAUAAGUGGCUUAUCUAAAUGUUGGAGGUUUUGCUGGACACUCUUCUAAUAUUUCUUAGCAGCUCCUACUAACUUCAUCUUAGCAAAGUGAACUGUCCCUAUUAGUCAUAUCAUAUCAAUUGAAUCCUUAAGUUCAUCCAACCAAUCUAGGAAGGUGUUAGGAUCUAAUUUACCAUUAUAAGAUUGCAUAUCUACCUUAAUCAACCUGGUAAUGCAUCUAGUGUUUCCUGAGCAUAUCUAUAGGGUGGAGGGAAGUGCCUAUUGACUCUAUCAGGAUGCCUAGCAUGGUGGUCAACUAGCCUAUGACAAACUCCUCCUGCAUAGUUAUGGAUUGGCUGCCAUGGUCUUGUUAAUGUUGGUGUCUAGGGUUCUGUUGUGCCUCUAUAAACUCACCCUCAUCAAACCUGGACUCUACAUUAUAAUGAGGAUCUCUAAGCAAGGCUCUAAUAGCAAGUCUAAGGUAUAACUCAUCCUAUUAGUAGUUGCUAAUGAUUCAGGAGUAGGCAGGGUACCUUGGACUGAUCCAACUAAAUAAGAUGCCCCAUCAGGUUGCAUAAUAGACUCAUCUGCCCUAUUUGCUACAUGGUGUCUGUCUAACCUCUUAGGGCUUGACCUACCUAUUGGCUCAAUUGCUCAUAUUGCUGACUUGCUUAAAUUUCUGGGCUAUGGAGUUCGUAAGGGGUUGUGGGUCAAAUUAUGUUGCAGAAGUGGAGGGGAUAACAUUUGUGGUAAUUUGGUCCAUAGUUCUUGGUCAUACUGUGAUACAAUCAACCGCAGGGACCAUGAAAGUAUAUAGAAAUAGACUUAAAAUUGCAAUAAGUAAUAUGAAUCCUAAAGUACUACGAUACACAUAUGCAAGACUAGUAACUUUAAUGUAAAUGAUAGGUGGAUGUCUAGAAACUAGCUAGAUGCAACAAAUAAGAAGGCUAGAUGCAAAUAAAGGUUAGGUGCAAACAAACAAAAAUAUAGGGUUUUUUUAAAAGAACAUGAAUAAGGUUAAACUUGAUACUAAAGCAACUUACUAGUUAUCCAAUCGGAUAAAUAUCAAUCAAGCUUUCAAUGGAAAAAUCUUAUCUUAGAAAGGGCAAAUUAAAUCACUACUUCACCUUCUAGCAAAGAGAAACUCAUUGCAGAGGUAGAAUUUGCAAAAUCAGAUACCAAAAUGGAAUUAGCAUGCUGAAAUUAGUUAGGGACAUGUCUUUGGAAAAUUUUGCAAAUGCUGACGUGGCGCAAAUGUGCUAGCUUGCACUUAGCAAGUGAUAUGGCGCUGAUGUGGCAAGGGAUGCUGACAUGACAAUGUUGAUUGGAUGCUGAUGUGGCAUUGCUGAUUGAUUUCUAGCAUAGUAGUGACUAAAUGCUGACAUGGCAGUGCUAGCUGGAUUGGAUAAAAGCCAAACGGGUUGGAUCUGGAUUAGAUUUGGAUCCACGGGGCUUCCUUCCUUGCAAGGCCUCAAAUCUGAAGCCCUAGUGUGUAAGGCCACGUGUGAGGCCAUCUGGUGAGGGAGGAGAGAAUGAUCCAUGAGAGUUUCCAGGGUUGGAGGUGUCGUUGUCGGUGGAAACACGGUUGGAGAGAGAGUGUGUUGGAAGAGGGGGUGCAAGGAGGUUUGACUAUGGUUUUGUGGGGUUUCAAGAGGCGCUGGAAGAAGAUGGGAGGGCAGCGAUAGUGAAUAGGUGCUCGAGUGGCAGAGAGGAGAGGCAGCGAGAGACUGAACAAGGGGAGUGGCAAGAGGCAGAAGGUUGGGAUGGUGAUCAGGCACUAGAUGGUAAUGGGGAAGGGGGCGUGACCUCUUGGUGGCCCUUGGAGGUGUUUAAUAGACUUUUCGGAGAUCCAUUGUGGAUGAGCUCGUGAAGGUGCUGUGGGUGAGGUGAGUCGGUGGCGGAGAAGAAUAGGAUGAGGAUGGUGGUGAUAAGAAAACAAGGGAUUAUUUUGUGUUUUUUUUUUUAAACAUUUUUUCUUGGUGUUGGUGUGGUGGGGCAUGGAUAGUGGUGGUGGUGACGGCAAAUCUAGGGAGGGUGGUGCAUUCAGUUGUUAGGUUUGCGGUGAUGGUGUAGCAAAGCGGCUACCAUACUGAGGGUAGAUGGAAGUUAGCUUUGAUACCAAUUAACAAAGGAUAGAAGAAGAAAGAGAUAGAUGGAGAGAGAGAGAGAGAGAGAGAGAGAGAGAGAGAGAGAGAGAGAGANNNNNNNNNNNNNNNNNNNNAGAGAGAGAGAGAGAGAGAGAGAGAGAGAGAGAGAGAGAGAAGAGGAGGAAGAGGAGAAGGCAGAGGGAGAGGGCCACUCAGUAUUCCUUGUAUUCUUAAUAAUGCAAUCAGUGUUUUCAAUUAACAUAGGAAUGAAUUUAUGCAAACACCUUAAAAUCCUAAUAAGAGUCUGCAUAAAAAUAAAAUUCUAAAAUCUAAAUAAAAUAAAAAUUUCUAGUUUCUAAAUAAGAUAAAAUUAUCUUAUUUCCAUAUUUGCACCUAAUAUAAGUGGGCCUAAAUUCCUUAUUAACUGAGGGUUCUUCAUCACUAUUAGAUGAUAAAUGAUAUUCAUUCACAAUAACACUACAGUAGGCUCAUUUAUAGGACGUGUAUGUAAUUUUUGUGUAUCUGAUUCAUUCUUAUUUACAUGCAUAGCUUUUCGUGCUAUAUGCAUGCAUGAAAUUGCUGUUCUUUUUACAUGUAUAUGACAUGUUUGUAAUGUGAAUUUUAAUUUUGCAGGUGUACUUUUGAUGGUCUUCGGUAUGGCGCAGCAUUUAUUGGGUGAGAUAGGAACUUUUUUUUUCUCACUUUUUUUCUUGAACAAUACAGUGGUAAUGUGCCACCAUCAGAAUUUGAAUGCUGGACUUCCCUUAGGGCAAACCUUUAGGAGAGGGGGAUCAACCAGCUGAACUAACUUCUGUUGGCUAUAUUUUUUGUUUGAUGUCUAAGAUUGUUCACCUAAGGAGUAACUGUUAGUUUUGUUCCUUUUCUUUUUUAAGUGUAUGAUUUCUUUUUUCAUCUAACAAGUGUACACCUUUGUCUGGAUGCUAAAGUUGUCCAUUGACUUCAAUAAUGAGUUUCAGUACUGUCUUGUUAUUCAGGUUUGAUCAUUUCAAUAUCAUUCGCCAAGGUAUUCUACUAGCAAUUGAUACGUUCGGUGUUUCUCACAUUGUUCCCAUUCUUAGCCUUCCAUUUCUUGUCACGCUCCAUUCCCAGAACUCUGAGGAAAACAAGGCAAAGGGUAUCGUUUUUGUUAAAUUAACUCAGGUAAUGACCUAUCAAUGUUGAAUAUUUUUUAAUUGUCCUUCCCUCAAAAGAUUUUUUUUUUGGGUCUAUUUCACCUCUCCUUAGUCUCAUUACUUUGAUAAACAUUCUUGUCAUCGUAUAUAUGUAAACAAAUGCCUACUCUUUCUUAACAUUUUAAUGGNNNNNNNNNNNNNNNNNNNNGGGGGGAGGGAGACAGAGAGAGAGCAUUUGGAUGAUUGGCUGUCAGAAGUGUCACCAUAGGCUGUUAAUGAAUGCACCGAUAUUCUAAUUUAUCAAUCGAUGGCAUACACUAAUGAGCUUCUGUUAUGACCAUAUAUCUGCUUGAGUUCUGAGCCAUGCUUUGUAGAGUACAAUUAGUUAGAUUUCUUCACAUUAUUUCUUGCUCGUCUUUCAUCUCCUAUCAAUUGGAAGAUCUUAACAGUUGAAAGAAUUUUGUAUCUUUCCGCCUCAAUCAUAAUGGAUGAUCAGGUGCUUUCGUUUAAUAAAUGGCAUUGAUCCAUUUUCAGUCCAAUUUGAAAUUACACUAGAAGUAGUAAAAUAAUUCUCCAGCAAUUUCUCAUUCUUGUAAAUUAUAUGAGUUGAUAUUAUGUUUUGUUUACAUGUUUUUUUUUUUCCGUCAUUUUCAGGUAUUCUUGAUUUAUGGGCUGAUAACAUCAGUGACAACUAUGUUUGCGAUUAUAUGUGUUACAAUUCACAGACGGCAUUUGAUGGUAAAUAAUUUUUCCAAAUUCCCAUCUUUCUCUUCAUUACUAGAUUUUAUGGAUCACUAAAGCAAGAUUAUAGGAUCCAUAAUUUGAUAGAUGUGCUUUGGCACUCCAAUUUCAUGGUUGAAACUUUCAUAGAGCAACAUGGGAAGUUCAGACAAUUUCAAAGAUUUCUGGAAAAAGAUUAAUUGGUACAUUGUGAGGUUAGCAACACUACUAGCAACAAAAGAUCAGCUGAUUGACACAGGUUGAAAUGCAACUUCUAAGAAUUAGUACUUGUUUGGCUUGGACUGACGAAGAAUAAAAUGGUGGGAACUCAUCAUUUAUACCUGCAAUUCUAGUGACCAGUGUUCCUUUUAGUUGGUCUCACCUUCAAGUGGAGAGAACUCAAUGGUUAUUAAUGUUUAGUUCAGAUCAGAUCUAAUCAGAUAAUUUCCAGAUUAAGUCAAGCUUGCCUCCUUGCAACCUCAUUUUUCUGGUGCUGUUUUUUGUAUCUUGACUUGUAAUUGCAACUUACGUAUCUUUAUCUCAUAUUUCAUUUUUAUCUUACAGGUAUGGGGAUUAUUUGCACCAAAAUAUGUUUUUGAUGCGUUGAGCCUUCUUCUAACAGAUGUCUUAAUUUGCUUGGCAUCUCUCUACUAUUACUGACAGAGCAGUAACCUGUGUCAAGAAAGCUGCCAGAAUUCCCUGUUGAUAAUCUUUUCAGAAAAUCUUGGCUGGUGAUUGUUUUAACCAGUUCUUUUCAGGAGCUGAUUCAUUCAAAUUCUGGUAAUAGUCGUUGUUGCUGAUGGCCUAAUGUGUUUACUGAAAUUUAAGGUGAUCAUGCUUGAUCAGAAAAAUCAAAUACAGCUGACAUCCAUAGACUUGGAACGAGUGCAGGCAUCUUUUAUGAUGAGUUUCUAAUUGGAUCAUUAUUUUCUAAAAAUACAAACUGCAUGUUCACUAUGAAGGCUCCAGAAAGUUGAAUUACUCUUUCGAGUUUAUUCCAAGCUUUGCUGUACCAUCUUACAUAUUGUUGAUUUUGUUCGUGAUUAUUUGUCAUCAAAUCAUCAUAUGAAGCAUUAGAUGGUAGGGUGAAUUGCUCCCUUUGCAAACAGUGGAUGCGAGCUCAAGUGUUGUCAUUGGCACCGAGGCUUUCCUAAAUUUUCAAUCAACAUUAAGGAAACAAUUUUAUGGAGUUCUUUUACUGCAGUCGAUGGUAAGCUUGUUGUUGCCAUUAAAAUCCUCUUUCUUAUCACUCGCAUUUGUCAUUUAUGUUCAACCCUGUAACAAAGGGUAGACAUAAUUAUCUGAAUCCGGACAGGAGCUCCAUCAGGAUCCCUCACUUUCUUCUUGGCCCCUUUUUGACUUUUAUGUAUUGCUCCGCAUAUACAAGUUUCAUGCUAUGCCUCUGUCAGUGUAGAAAGAUGAUUGAAACUGUGCUUAUGCAUCCUUCCAAAUGGAUUGGUCUGUUUCGGCUGCUCUAAGCUUGGAAAAUUUAAGGUGGAAUAACAUCCAGGGUACGAAAAAUUUCCAGGUAUCUCAGAAUAUUAUUGCUAAGUUUGUUAUAGGGUUGAGGGUUGGGACCAAGUCAUGCUUGACGAGGAUCUCGCAUGAUUUUGGGACUUAGAUGCGUCUCAUUAGCUAAUGAGGUUAGAUCAGGUCAGGCAGAUUAAAAGGCUGGGUUGCGGCUCGAUUGGGUCUGUAUCGGGAAAUUUUUUUUAGUUAAAAAUAUGAAAGUUGGUAAUCAAACGAGAAAAUGACUCUUUGUCAGAGUAAAACUUGAGGUUUGCUAAAUUAAUCAUUUUUUUUUGAAAUAAAACUUCUUUGUUAUGAUAAAAAUGAAUACAUUUAUUUUUUGUUACAAAAAAAAAAAGGAAUACUUCUAACGUACAGGUUUAAAACUCAUGACUGCAAAAAAAAAUAGUUGAUAUAUUUUAAACAAACCACGUAUAGGACUAAACACAAGUAAAUAAGUGGUGGGAUCAACCUAGAUAAAAGGGAUAAAUUCUGUGGAUGCUUUAUUUAGGACUUGUUUCGUGCGGUUUGCAGGAAGUGGAGGGAGUGGUAAUUUUUGAGAAGUAAAAAAAGAUUUUUUUUAUUUAAUUGGAGUUUUAAGAAAGAAAAAAAAGAUGAAAAAAUUUUUUCUAUGGAAAAGAUACCGCUUAUGUUUCAUAAAAAGUGAAAAUUUAUAGUGAAAAUUCAUGGAAGGAAUGAAUUUUGUGACUUCUCGUGAGAUAAAAAGUGAUGAUUUUUUUAAAAAAAUAUUAUUUUAAGAUCUAUAAUUAAAAUUUUAUAACAUAUUAAUGAAUGGUAAAGAAGAAAUAGUGAAAAGUAAAAUAUGUCAAGAUCUUUAUUUUUUUUCCUUGUAAAAUUAAUAUAAUAUAAUAUUAAUAUUUAUAUUAAUAAAUUAUAAUAUUUAUUAUAAUAUAUAUUAUAAUAUUUAUAAUAUAUUAAUAUUAUUUUGAUAUUUAUAUUGAUAUAAUAUUUUAUUAAUAUUAAUAUAAUUUUUGCAUCAAUAUUUUAAUAUAAUAUAAUAUUUAAUAUUAUAUUUAUAUCUAUAUAAAUAAAUUUUAUAUUAAAAUAGUAAUAUAUAUUAUAUUAUAUUAAUAUAAUAAAUUAUUAUAAUUUAAUAUUAUAUUAUAAUAUAAUUUGUUAUAUUUAUAUUAAUAUAAUAUAAUAUUAUUAUUUAUAUAAAGUUUGUGAGUAAAAAGAUAUGAUCUUAUAUUUAUUAAGGAUAUAAUAAUUAUUUUAUAUAAUUUUUUCAAGAAAGUAGAUGUUCAAUCAAAUAUAAACUAUUUUUGGAUAAAUUAUUUUUUUUUAUGAUCAAUCAAUAUGUCAAAAAUAUAUUUUUAGGAGGUGACUUGCUUAAAGUUAUUUUUUAGAAAGUUGAUUCCUAGAAAAAAAUUUUCUCAUGAACCAAACAAGUUCUCAAUAUAAUUAGCAAAAGCCUUUGGGAAGAAGAGGGAUAUAUUGAGGAUUUUGGAUUAGGUCAAUCUGUAUCUGAGUUGGGUUAAGUACACUUGGAUUGAUGUAAAGCGAACCCGGAAAAUUUAGGGGCCAGGUCAGGUUAGAAUCACAAAACCCAAAUGUUUCUCAAAUGUCUCUAAUUUUUUACGCUGACUUUAAAAUGGCUCUAGUUUUCGGCCCAACCUAACCCAUGGAUUUCCAAAAGAGGUCCAUUAGGUUUAACUGAUUCUGGUCUAGGUUGUUCAUGAGUCAACCAAAGCAAUUUUUUGGUCUGGUUGGUAAGAAGUUGAUUGAUCUGUAUCGUUGAUGUUGACCGCUGGCUGGAUGGGGAGUUUUUUUGAAUGUUGACGUCAUUAGGGUUCAAAAUUUUAACCACUCAUAAUAAAUGGCUUUGGAUGGUAUUUUUAUAAUUGGAUUAGGUUUGGGCUAGCUGAGAUCAACCCACGUGUUUGACUCGUGGAUCCAAUGAGUCAUCAUGAGUUGAGUAAAUCCCUAAAAUCCAACCCUAAAUCUUUAGGAUAGUGGUAGCUAUACAGUGGCCCAUGUCCUAAACGAAGAUUGGUUUGGAUGAUUAACAAGGUUGCAUUUAAUAGCGAGAAUGAUGACUAAAAUAUAAAGGAGUGAAGCUGAUGAGACAAUAUUGAGCCUCCUCUCAUUUUUUCAAUGGAUGGUCUUCAUUUGGACGUUUAUCGACCUCAAGAUCGAGAUCUUAUUGAUAAAAAAAAUGAGAUCCCACGACCAGCAUAGGCACUGAUAGAUCUAUGGCGAAAUCUCAGUUUUGUACCGAUCUCAAACUGCUAGCUUAUUCAGUCAUGUAAAGGAUAUCUUAACAAUCUUCAGAACGUGGGUAGAAUCCACAACUGAGAUGCACAAUUAAUGACUCUGAUUCAUAGGUUAGUGAAUAGAUUUCAUAUCCUAACGGCCUGUCAGAUUGAGACUUAACAACCUAGGGCCUAACGGUCUAUCAGAUUCCAACGUAACAACUUUCACUGCUUCACCUCUAUAUAAAGAGAUAAUAUAGGGACCCUCCGGUAAAUCCAACUUUAGAGAACAACCCAUAUUUUUACUCUUCCUUUCUCUCUUUUCUUUAUUGUUCUCAAGCUCUAGCUAACUUAGAUAUCGAAGGAUUCUUUGGAAGAGAAAUUUUUUCUCAUAGGUUUUUCUUAGACGCUGCAGUUCUUGAGUUAAAGCCAAGCUCCUGGGUCAGAAGGAGCCGACCUCUGCCAUACUUAUUUUGGACCGAAGUCUUGCAGCAAUAGUUUGGUACUAGAGAAAGGAUCCCAAGUCCAUUCAAAAAGGAAAGAAAAUAUGACAAUAUUAAGAGCGUACAACUCCGCUGCCUCCAAUUGGCAAUCCUCUCGUUGUAGCUAGGGUGGUGCUGCCUGGGAGUCUGCCAUCGUGCAACCCUAUCAUGAUGGAUCUGCAACUGUUCGACAUCCUGAUCUAGCAGAUCCGGACAUUGACCAACAUCGUGUAGUAGCUCUAGUAGGCGACAAAACGGCAUCAACCCAUAGAGCUGGCACCUCAAAUGGCUCCCUCUUCGCACCACCGCCGAUCUCAUCCUCAAAGCCCAAAAUCAGCCCCCUAACGAACUCUCCAUUCUGUUCCCACUCUUGCUCUUUGCUAGUCACCUUCCCAAAGAAGCCUAAGGAAGGAGGACUGAUAAUAGUGAUCCCCCUCUUUCGAUGGAGAUUUGACUUUGGAUUAUUCUCCAUAGUUCUGAAGAUCUUGUCGGAAAGAGAAUCUUGAGUGAAAAGUUUGCGAUAUCGAGCGCCACCUCGACAAGGUCCAGAAUGGGAGUCACCGGAACAAUGACGGUCUCAGCUUCAACUCUUGACCUCCCUUUUUUCAGGCUAUUCUGAGAAAAUCAAUCCCAAAUCGGUUCAAGAUGUCUCAGAUAGAGUCGUACGAUGGCUCCUCAGACCUCCUCGAUUACUUCAAAGGUUACAAAGCCCUCAUGAUGCUUCAGGAUAUCUCAGAUGCCCUUCUUUAGGGGUGGUAAUUGGAUCGGAUCAAAUCAUAUACGGGUUGGAUCAAUAUGGGUCGAGUCAAAAAAUCAUCAACCCAAACCGAUUUGUCUAUUAAACAGAUCAAAAAUUUAGACUUGAACCCGAUCUUACUCACUUAGCCCAUUUAUUAAAUAGGCAAAUUAGGUUAAAUUGGUUAAAUAGAUUAAAUGGGUUAAAUGGAUUAAACAGAUCGGGUUAAAUGGAUCAGAAAUAGAUUAAGUAGAUUUUAAAUAGGAUAAAUAGGUCUUAAAUGGAUUAAACAAGUUAAAUAGGUUAAACAGAUUAUUUAAUUCAAUGCGAUCUGAAUAUUAAAUGGAUUAAACGGAUCAAAUGUUUGAAAUUUAAAUCUGAUCCAAAUAUUAAACGGAUUAAACGGAUUGACCUAUUUAUGAUCUAAAUCCAUUUAGUCUCAAUCCAAACUUAUUUAUGGCGGAUUGAACGUGGAUCAAGUUGAUGGGUUGGGUCAUAUUUUGCCAGUCCUACCCUUCUCUGCUUCGCCUUCCUGUCCAUCUUUAAGAAGUCGGCAUGGGUGUGGUAUUUGGAACUCCAACCAAAAUUCAUUCAUUCAUUUGAACAACUCGAAAGGUUGUUCCUCGCCCACUUUGUCAAUAAUCGAGCCCAACUGAAGAACUCCGAUAGUCUUUUCUCCAUCCAGCAAGAAGAUGAUGAGUCACUACAUAGCUAUGUGGUGCGUUUCAAUACCGCCAUGCUUGAAGUACAUAGUCUUGAUAAGUCAGUAGUGACGUUGGUGCUCAAGCGAGGAUUGCGGAAUAAGCACCUUAUCUUCUCUCUCGACAAAACAUUUUCAAUGGACUAUGCUAACUUGCUAGUGGGAGCUUGGAAGUAUGCACAAAAAGAAAAAGCUCGAGCUGCAUAGAAGGAGGCGGAGGGAAAGGAGACCCUAACUAGAAGUGAGAUCAAGAGGAAACAAGGGGAUCCUCAGAUAAACUCAACUGCAGAGAACAUUCUCGUACUCUCACUCCCUCUUCCUUCGAUACUCUCUUUUUUUUAUCAUUUUCAAACUUUAAUUGACUUAAGCAUCAGAAGAUCUUGUCGGAAAAAUUCCAGCGAGAGCGGACUUCUCCUUUAAGUUCUCCCUUGGUAUUUUGGUUCUUGGACGGCAUUCGACCUCAGCCAUAUCUGCAUUGAAUCGAAGUCUUAUAGCAAUACUCUAUUAGUUCUUAGUACCAGUAUUACUAUUCUCUUUUCAUUCUUUCAUUGCUUGCGAGGGAAAAACCCUCUCUAAAUAAUUGGAGGAACUCGUCGAAGCCAAUUUGGUGAGCUUUUUGACCUUUGCUUAUUGUCGAUCCAUGGAGGCGGUUUGUGUUAGCAUCUUGGGAUCGGGGAGCAACAAAGGUGAUCUACCAUAAAUUACCUGUUCUACCAUCUGCAUGAUUGGACCACAUUUUAGCAAUAGUUAGGACAUAACAAACAUUCUACGGAUCAAAUCCUUCUGUCAACUUGUAUGCUUUGCUAUACAUAAGAAAAAAAGUAGAGGAUUAAGAACAUCAAUGGAUCCAUACCUUUGUAUUAUGUCAGUCUGCAGGUUGAUUCCAAACACAUGACAGGGUGAUGUGGAAAUAUAACCAAGAUCAUAAAUUUAACCGAGGUAGCCACAAAAAUUUUUAGUUGACAGACAGCCGACACAGUUUGGGGUAGCGAGAACGAUAUAGCAAUGAUACUGUAAAUGAUUCAGCAUCGAUAAGUUGUUGUCUAUAUUAGACAAUGAUGACAAGUCAGUUGCCAUUAACAUCAUCGGGACUCAAAAGAUAAGUUCAGUAAGAAUACCAACUUUUAGAGAGCUUAAUGAUCUUGCUAUAACGUCGGUGAUCCCUUAUAUGGUCCAUCAAAGUGAUUGAUCCACUUGGUGUGAGGCCAACCGGUCAAUUACAACCGAUCUGAUGAGCUCAAUGCGCCAUCUUGCUCACCUCAAAGAGAUGUUGACAACUACCAUCUUAAGAAACCUUAUAAUUGAGCCAUUCAAUCACAACAAUCGCCGUGCAUCACACUAGAGUCUCCCCCCCCCCCCCCAAGCCCACACACUCGGGGAUCAAACAAUUGAUGGAUUCUUUUAUGGACGAUGAAUUGCAAAUGUAAAUAUGGUAUAGCGUAAUCAGUGUACUAAUCGGAGUAGGUAGAGGCUAAAUCCCAUCAAAAGAGGGAUCAUGUAGGGGCUACUUCCCAUGCUAAAUAUAUCUACAUAAUUGCGCGGGGACUGAGAGUCUUCGUCGGCCGCUCCAAUGAUUAACCUGUAGUUUUGACUGAGUCAACGGGUCUUUGGUAUGGUAUGCUCAUACUAUUUUGGCCAAGAGGACUCGGUCCAAGUGGUUGGCACACUCCCUUCUUGGAGAGUAGGGGUGGUGCCAUGUUAAUUAUCACUGUAUUUUUUUUAAAAAAAAGAAAAAAAAAAGAAGACCAAACUAAUCGGUACACGUAUGGCAGGUUGACAAUCUAUUCAUUCGUACUCGUUUUGAUAUAUAGGUCUUUGAAAUUUAUUAAACUUCAUUGCCCGCAAUUAAACUAUUCAGGUGUUGUUCGAGACUUUAAUCAAAGCCAAAUUUGAGCCUGCAAAUAGGAUUCGAAUUAUAUCCGACCUCGAGUAGACUUUCGGCUGUAACAUCAAGGGCUGCAACUUUCUGCUGAGCUUCGCUUAUCUCAUGUAAAGGAUGCCCCCCUUCAGUGAAAUUACCAUUCUAUCUACGACUUUGCAAUGAAUGUCCCAUUACUGUAGAAAGGAACAUGGGCAUUUUGGUCUUUUUAGCCAUACACCGGCUGGGCCCGUGCAUUCUAAACAGUCCCGAAUCUCGAAGAAGCAGUGGUUCUUUGAGGGCUUGUCUGUAAUUUUCUUUGGAGAGAAGACUUUGCCAUAAUUUUCACAAAAAAAAAAAAAAAAAAAAUCUCAACCAUGGGUUGUGGUGAUCCGUACAUGCACCGCACCGGACACAUACCCUGGUGAGGGACCUUGUCAAUGGUGGGCCGUGUGAUUGGCACCCAGAGUCGACCCAAACUUUUUUCCCAACCCUCUAAUAGGCCAUCCAUUUGCACUGACCGGCAGGAUCAAAGUCUCCUGUUUGAGCCAUUGGUUUCGGGGGAUCCACUUUGGUACUCUGAUGGAGAGACUUCGAUGGUGCGCUAUUAAUGGUUGAAAAAUUAUAUCCUACACCAUCUGCACCAGCAUAACUGUACACCGUGCUAAUCACUAAGAUGAGAGCAAAUGAAUGGGGCUCAUCGAAAUGAGGUGAGAUGAUUGGUAUGAUGCAUGCAGUGUGGGAUAUAAUUUUUUUUUAUGAUAGGCAUGGAUCGUUAGACAUCUUUGGUAUCAACAAUCUUGAUAGAGAGCAUUGGAUUGAUAUGAAAUUGAUGGUUGUGAUCGCUAGGAUAGGCAUUAUAAAUACACAAAAACAUAUAAUUUAUUGGCAUAAUUUUGUGAAUAUACAUGGCUGUAUAUUAUUUUAUUUAUUUUUUAAGUUAAUUGUUCAGACAGUGAAUGGAGAGUUCUUUGCACCUCAAGGUGGCAGCAAGCAACGACAGCUAAUAACAUCUAAUAAUAUAAUAUAAUAUUUUUGACAUUUUCUAUUGAUUUACGAUUGGUAUACGUAGGGUUGAUGGAAUUUUUUUAUUCAGAGAAUAUUUGGUGUUCCUGGACUUUUUUUUUUAAUCUUUUUUCUUUUUUUUAAAUAACAUGUUCUUGGACUUUAAUAUGGAAAAAUUUUGUCAAGGUUCAUGGACAGCUGAUGGUUGGGGGGGCCCUCACCUAAGCUGGAAACAGCAGGGACUUGGAGUGCUAGGAGAUACAAAGGAGAUUGCUUUUCUAAAGAAGGGGCCCAAUGGAAUAGAAAUCACACAAAAAAGAUGGUCAGUAUCCAUCAUUAAAAUAUUCUUGUUGCCAAAAAAAAAUUCCCCCUUUUGUUUAAUCAAGAAUUACUUAGGGUCACAUGAACCCAAUCAUGGCACUCUGCAUGUCUAAUCAUUGAUGAAAAAUAGAAUUAAUUACAAAGACACUGCGUAGACUGUAGGUUAUUUUAUUUCUCAGGCCUUGCAUCCUCACCUUUUGAUGAUUUUGGUACAUUUCGGUGCUAGAAUUGAAUUAAAAGAAAAGAAAAUUCCAACUAAAUUCAUUGUACAAAAUGAUAACUUAGUAAAAUGAGGAACAAGGCUGUUGAAGGUUUUUGAGAAAAUUAACCACAAAGUUAUUACUUUUAAAAAAAAAAACUCUCAAGAACAAAGCCUAAAACCCUAUUCAUAGGGUAAGGAGCCAUAGGGUACUUUUUCGAUAAGCACAAACUGUUACAUUUCUUCUUGAGGAGAAAAUUUUCCUUUUUCAAUCCUGUUUGCAUUGGAAGAUUUUUGGAAAAGAUAUCAAAGCUAAAAUACGAGGAAAGUGAGGAGAGAGAGGAAUAGUUGGAAAAUAUGUAUUCAUAAACUGUCUGGAAGAAUCUGUAGAAUUUCCUUGCAUGAUCUAGUCGACUGCUGAAGCUUCACCUAACUUGGUCACAGAUCUUUUUCAGAGCCUAGCUUGGGCUUUCCUCGGUGCUUCCACCAUCCAUCCUGGCUCCCAAUACUUUUGCUGUUUUGUUAUUUGUCUGAUACCUCUGACUAAAAAUAGCACUAUAUUAAUUGUAUUGUAAUUCUUUCAUUCUUUAAUAAAAAAUGUGGUCUCUGACCUCCUUUUCAUCAAAAAAAAUAUAAAAAAAAAUAAAAAAUAGCAUUCAUUAGAGAAAAGUACAGGGUGAAAAGUUAUUGGAGCAUAUAUAUAUAUAUAUAUAUAUAUAUAUCUAGACUGAUGCAUGGUAACAGGCAAUUUGCCAUCUCAUCUGAUGAGCAAUAUAGUGACCAUGCCAAGUUAUGUACUUCUAACUGAUUGAUACUUCAAGUAGUCCUGUUUUCAGUUAUAUACUUGAUCCACAGGCACACUCAUUAUUUCAGUUUCUUCAGAGAAGCCAUGAUAUGGUUGUCCACUCUCUGCAAUUGGUAAAUACCAAGUUCUCCAAGCAGUUUCCAAGGGACACAAUUGUCUCUUUCCAAACUAGAGGAAGGUGUCCUCUGUUUUAGAAGAUGUAUGGAGCCAUUUUGUUCUUUCCGAUCAAUGAUCAGCCUUUCCGAAGUGAUCAUGGUCUGGGGAUCUGUGCAAAAAGCUAAAAGGGUCCUGUUUUCUCUGACACAAGAUUAUCUUAGGAACUCGAAUGGGGCUCGGACUGUCCUUUGGGCCUCAGUCCUUCACAAAUACGAUAAACAUAUACUGCUGCGGUAUAGGCCAAUGCUUAUUGUUUAAUGUUUGUCUAUUGCUAGGAGAGGACUUUCCAACCCUUUUCCCAAAAAUCUACGGUUGUUUCUGUAUUGGAUUGCUUCCCAUUCAUGUCAUAUUUUGUUAUGUUACCUUUCAAAUAAUGUUACUUUUGCUGCCUUAACUUUAAAGUCAUGGGGACCAAAUCCCGCCACUGCUUCUCCAUUAAUUUAUGGGAUUAGAUACCCCACCAUUAGAGGAACAAACGUUUAUCUCAGAGCCUGAUGAGAUCUACAUUUUAGAUGUUCGAUCCCCCCUUUCCCCACCUUAAAAAGGAGGAGGAAAUAAAUGGGGAAAAGAAAUUAAAAAAAAAACCUCAAACCCAAUCACACCCAGUUGAUUGUCACCCUCACAUCUCUCUAUCUAUCUCUCUCUCUCUCUCCAAGCUCAACUUUCUCCCCCUAAUUCAAUUGCCCCUCUCUACUGCCACUGCAUUUUCUCAGCCCCUCAACUUCUCAGAGACCAACACCCAAUCCUCAUACUCUCAAAAGCUACCUCCUCGAGCUGAUAAUUGGAAAGGAUCCAACACCAAAUUCUCUGGAGUUUUGAAGGCCUCAGUGGCAUUGCACUCCUGUCUCGCUCAAAAUGGGGAAACACUCCUGCUGCUACAAGCAGAAGCUAAGGAAAGGCCUCUGGUCCCCAGAGGAGGAUGAGAAGCUCCUCAAGCACAUCACUAAAUAUGGCCAUGGGUGUUGGAGCUCUGUGCCCAAGCUAGCAGGUAAUUCUACCACUUUGUCUUCAUCAACUCCUAAAACAAGAAUGCAUAAAAAAAAAAAAAAAGGAAAACCUAACAAAGAGCAAUUCUUUUAAUUAAUCAUACUGACUGCUCUUUCCUUUCAUGGGAUAAUAUCUUGAAAAGAGUUCAUAUCUGCAUGGAACUAUUUCCAGAUUCUAAGAUAAAAUCACACAUUCCAGGUCUUCAAAGGUGUGGAAAGAGCUGCAGGUUGAGGUGGAUAAAUUAUCUGAGGCCUGAUCUCAAGAGAGGCUCAUUUUCACAGCAGGAGGAGAACCUCAUCGUCGAGCUCCAUGCGGUCCUGGGCAACAGGUACCAACCAGUCCUUGAGCUCAUCAAACCUCAAUUACCAACAUUGCAUCCCUCAGAAUUCAAUCUAUGUGAGCUGAUAUAUCUUAAUUUCCUCCCCUUCAGAUGGUCUCAAAUUGCAGCUCAAUUGCCCGGGAGGACCGACAACGAGAUUAAGAACCUGUGGAACUCCUGCAUCAAGAAGAAGCUAAGGCAGAGAGGCAUUGAUCCCAACACCCACAAACCGCUUUCUGAGACCGGAGGAGGAGAAGAUGAGGCCCUCACAAUCAGUGACAAGACUUCCGGAUCCAGCAAGCUGAAGCUUCUUGCCCCCACCUCAGGGAAUUCAAACUCGACAGUUCCCGAGCCAGCUCCUCCAUUGAUGCCGAAGAAUUUGGCAGCACCCACCAAAGAUUUCUUUCUAGACCGGUUCGCCGCAACCCAUGAGAGCUCCAAUUCAAUGGACUACUUUCCCCUUCGGAAUUCAGCUUACAGCCCCAACCUAUCAUCCAUGCACCAAAAUCUGCCUCUCUGGUUUAACCAGAACUUGAGGCUGUUCAACACGAAUACGGAGUUAAAUUGCAACAUGAUAUCUAGUGCUGUUCCAUCAGGCUCAAACUCGGUUGUCCCGAACUCCAUGGAUUUGAAGCCCACGGUUAGUAUUGCAGAGGAGUAUCUCCCACGUUUCCAGUAUUUGGAGGCCGGUAACUCUAGCAACAAUAGUGCAAGCAGCGGGAACGCCAGCAGUGGGACAGACUUGCAGAGCAACAAUUCUCUCUUCGACAGCAGCAUCUUCCAAUGGCCGGACUUGGUGCUCAACAAAGAAGAUCAAAUCCAGCUCGGAGGGGAACCGGAGGACCUCAAAUGGUCUGAGUACCUUAACGGCGCCAUCUCUCCGUCCACCGAUUUACAGAACCAAAGUCAACUAUUUAAUGGAGCUGUCAAAGAAGAGAACCAGUUUUUGGUUGAUGGGUUCAGCUCAUGGCUGCAACCUCCUGAAUUAUUUGGUAAGGAUUUCCAGAAGAUUUCCACAGCUUUCAAACAAAUUUAAAUUAUCGAUACGCAUAUAUGCUAGUCCUUGUGGAGCCUCUGAUUCAUAGAAUGGGAGGGGAGACAUACAGAAGCACUCCUUUUUCACAAGAGUUGUCUACUUAGAAAGGCUUGAAAUAAGAAGGAACGGCUUCUUCUAAUGGUUUACAGUGUGCACCAUAGAAUUCUUCUCAUGUAAAUAGGCCCUUGUGAUACAAAAACGUUAGCCCUUAUUGAUCUUUGGAUGGUAAGCACUGAAUAAAGCUUGUUUCGGUGAAUGUUUUUAAUUUUUUACAUCUGAUUUCGCUGUCUUGGAACAAGCAUAUUGAUAGUAUCUCAUGUAAGCAAUCAUGUCUCUACUUCAGAUUAUUUGGUCUCCUGCCAUUAUUUAAAAAAAAAAGAAAAAAAAAAUCUUUUCUUACCCCAUUGCCAUCAUACUCAAUAAAAAAAAUCUAUGGCUUCAGGUAUAAAAAGGUAUGGUAUUCCUAUCAAAACCUCUCAUUAGAGUCAGAAUUGGCGUCCAUGAUGCUACUGCACACUGUCUGCUUUUGGGAAUGAGUUACAGCUGUGCACCUCUAGUUUGCCAAUCUGAUAGCUACCACAAUUGCCUCAACUUCAAUUGGAUGGCUUUAGAAGGAAGAGUCCGAGAAGGGUUGGUUACUUUUGUCAAGCAAGGCAACACACUUCUCAGAGAAGAAAGAGAGCAAAUCUCCAAAAAGAAGAGUUUAGUACCACAUUGAUUUACCUACUAAUAGAAGGAUUGUGACUGCUAUACUCCUACCAACCAAGAUAUGGACUCUGUAGACAAAUAACAUAUCGCCUUGAAUGAGGAUUUGAUGAACUCAUGAUCUUUUGCUUGGAUACCAUGUUAACUAACCACUAGAUCGCGAAACUCGGGCUCUUAGGAAAAGGGUCGAAAACAUAAAUCAAGCCCAAGCAGUCGAUUUCGGUUAGGAUGCUGAAUUUGGUAAGGAAAGGUAUAAAUUAUGUAGCAAAUAGAGACAGCACCUUCUUCUCUCGAGCAUUCGCCAUCAGUCGAGCAUCAUUGUGCCUGCGUUAUCUAGCCACAUGAUCAAUGCCAUCGAAAAGUAAAAGAAGAAAAUAAUUUAAAGAAUGGGGGAGAGAGGGGUCUAUUUCUCUUGAGAAGAAUCUUCACCACUCUAAGGUUCAUUUCAAAUUUCAUAUCCUUCCCAUCUUUUCCCUCCUAUGCUGCAGAUGCGCCAUCAGCAGCUACAACUUAAUUUCUUGACGACGUAGAAUUGAUGGGGAUGGGCCAUCAUGUUUUAGAAAAGAAGCAUAAUAUCACAUGCUAAUGUAUUAAUGAGAUGGCCAAGACAACUGUUCGCUAAAUGAAAUUUCACAACAUUAAUUGAGUUCGAAAACUAGAACAGAUGAAGAAGUAAUAAUAAAAUAGUUGAUGAUCAAAUGGUAAAAAGACAAAUAAUGAGCAUCGAACAAGAGCAACUACGGUGUCGACAUGUAAUAAGGAUUAAGUGUGGCAUGUUUUGCUGUAUGAAAUAGUUUUAUUCAGAUCAUUUAAUUUAUGCUCGGUCUUGUUCUGUUCCAGUGCAUGUGAACCGUAUUAUUAGGUUCUUUCGCUUAGGGGACAAAAAGAAAGCAGGAGAUUAAAAGAAUCCAACUCCAAUGGACCUUCUGAUUGAGUUGGAUAGACUUUGAGAACAUCUACGAAAGUUCGGUGCAAGCCACCAUCCUAAAAGGCCCUACCACCUUGAUUGCAUGGUACCAGCAAAGCACAUGUGUAAAACGAGCAGUGUUUUUAUGGAGUACUGGCUGCUCGAAAGCUUAUCCCGCUACUGUCAAACUAUCAUACGGAAGUUUGUGGAAUGCAAUUGAAUCGGAACUGCAUGCAUGCCAUCACAGUUCCAAUAAAAAAAGGGUUUAUCCGAUCGACUGAAUAGAUUGUAAAUCAAGAAUAAGCUUCAAUCGGUUUCCUGAUCUGAAUUUAGUGGGGCAAGCCUGAAUCUGAUGGCCUUAUUUGUGACGUUGAAGAAUUUUGAACCAGGAAAUUAGAACAAUACCAUCAUUUAUUAAGAUUCUUUUGGAAGCACAGACUGAAGCAGAAUCUUCCGAGAGGCCUCUCCAGCCUCUGUUAUGCGAUGAGCUACCAACAGGAAUUUGCGUGGGGAGCCAAAGGAAAUAUCUAGAAGCUAAUAUCAUUCCAAAUCACCAGUCCCAAGUUAUGCCAUGAAUCUUUCUGCCGCAAAUUGGCACGAGUACAUAAUUGAUCCAAAAUAGUUACAGGUAGUUUAUAGAGAUUUUUCUUUUGAUAUUAAAAAUAUAUGUGUAAUGACCGGAAGCAGGGGAGGAUGUUUCCUCCUUUGGUUUUGCUUCCCUUUCUCCGCUAAUUCUACCAUUUCUGGCAGCCAACCCAGAAGGUCCCGAGGCGGCUAGCUGAGAUGGGGUUGGAUACUGCCCUCUCUUUCCUUUUUCCACUUGUCUCGAGCCAGCUAGCUGAGAGGGGGUUGGAUACUGCCCUCUUCUUUUCCUUUUUCCACUUGACACAACGGUCCUGUCUCCUUUUCUUGCUUAUCGGUGGUAGCUUAUUAGCGGCGGAUCUCGCCAUUCUAUUUUCUUUUCGUCAAUGCGGGCAACAGGGAUAACUACUAAGCCAUUGAGGGGAAAAAAAAAAAACUGCGUACCCACCCGAGUAUUUUCACCUAAUUUAAAUAUUUUUCGUCCAAUUUCAAGCCUCCUUUCACCAACCCAAAACAGAAAAGCAAGGAGGAAUCGAUCCAGUAAAUUAUGUUAAAUUCUUAUUUUCAUUUGAAAUUUAUUGAUGGAUCAUGAUGAAUUUCUGAAACAACCAUUGGAUUGAGAUCUUGUAAGGUUACGAACCAUUUCUUUUAAAAUGAUUUGAUUUCUUUUGUAAUCUAAAAUUUUUUAAAUUUAUUAUAUUUAAUUUUUUGAAAUCACAAGAAUAUGCUUUGUGUCCGAGCUUGCCCAAAUAAAAGACACUAACAUUUAGAAAUGCAAUUGAUAAAGAUUUAAUAAAAAAAAUUUAAAAAAUUUUUGUUUUUUAUAGGGGUUAAAACCAAAUCCAGCUCCGUUGGAAAUGACUUUUUGACUACAUAAAAUUAUUUGGAGUUUUUUAAUAUUAAAAGAAAAUUUUUUAACAAUGUGUUUAAGUUUUUAAACUUCUUUCCUCAAUCUUGAUUUUUUUUAAGUAAAGAAUAUUUUUCUUUCAAAUAUUCAUCCUUUUCUUCAAUCAAAACAUGAUUAGAUUUUUCAAAUUCUUUAUUUUUCAAACUAAGUCUUUUAAAUUCAUCAAAAAGAUUAUAGAAUGCAUCUUACAAUUCAUCAAAUAUAAAAUUAGUCUUAGUUUUGGAUAUUAUCUCCUCCUCAUAUGUUAUAAAGCAUAGAUUUGCCACUUUUUAUUAUUUUCAUCAUAGUUUGAGUCUUUACCAUUGCUCCAAGUGGCCAUCAUAAUAUUCUUCUUAAUUUUCUUUGAAGAUCUCUUGAGGAGAGUAUAGUUAAUUUUGAAGUACCCUGACUUUUUGUACUCAUAGCACAUAAUCUACUUUUUUUCUUUUUUCUUCUUCUUGCUUGAUUCUCAUUUGAUGAAAGUUUUUUUUCUGAAUUUUUUUUUCUUUUUUCUCAUGAACUCCCUAAACUUUCUAGUGAUGAGUGCCACAUCCUUAUCCUCAUCUCCUUCUUCUGAUCCCUUACUAUCGUCCUCAUCUUUUAUCGUGGAUUUGAGGAUAAUUAUCUUUUUUUUUAAUUUUUUUUAAUUAUUUUAUUUCAUAGUUAACUCAUGAGUCAUGAGAGAACUAAUAAGUCAUUCUAAGGGCAAAAUAUUGAAAUCCUAGAUCUCUUGAAUAGCUGGUACUUUGGCCUCUCAAGUCUUAGGAAGUGACCUCAAAAUUUCUCGAUCCAGCUCAUUAUUAGGAUAAGACUUUUCCACGCUUUUAAAAACAUUAGUAAUAUCAAUAAAUCUAGUAAAAACUUUAGUAAUUGAUUCAUUUUUUUUCAUUUUAAAUAAUUUAUAUUUAUAAAUAAAUAUAUUUAUCUUAGAUUCUUUAAUUUGGUUGGUAUCCUUAUGGGUAACCUCUACUCUAUCCCCCAUUUUUUGGUAGAAAUACAAGUAAAAAUCCUAUUGAAUUUAUUUGCAUCAAAAAAAUGGUAAAGAACAUUCAUGAAUUUGAUAUUGAGUUGAUCCAUUUUUUUAUCUAAGUCAUCCUAAUCCUUGUCAAGUUUGGGAGCAACAAUAUCAUUUCCCAUGAUUAUGGAUAUGUGUGGACCAUUGAUUAUGACACUCUAAAGAUCAUAAUCAAAUAUUUGAAUAAGAAUACACAUACAUGCUUUCUAAUAAGUAUGGUUUGUGUCGUUAAACAAAGGAGAUGUAUAUGUCAAUUGUCUUCGGUAAAUGACACAUCAAUUUGAACUGCCAUCCGAUCUUUUACUCUUGAUAGUUAGAUCAAAAGGGACUGAGUAUCAAGCUCUGAUACCACUUGUUGUCCAAAUAGACAAUCUAAGAGAGGGAUGAUUGGAUUUUUUAAAAAUUUAAAACUUGUUAUAGAUAAUAAUUAAACUGAGUGAGGUAAUAUAAAUGAGGGCUAUGUCAUAAACAACAAUAUGAAGAUGCAAAUAAUAGCUAACGUAAAGAAACAAUAAGGCAUAAGCAAAUACAAGACUUUUAUAGUGACUUGGUGUUAAACUCAGCAUCUGUAUCCACUUUUCAAGUCAUCUUUGAAAAUUCUACUAUAAUUUCUUUAGAUUAUAGCUUGAUUAUUUUUUUAAAUUUAUAAUCAAAAUUUAGUUGCUUUUUUGGUGAAAUCAACCAAAACUAUAUCCUCAAGCUAAUCCUAGGCUCGCACAACAAAUGCACUCUAAUUCAAGACUGGCAUAGGCCUAUCUCCAUGUUUUUAUCCCAAAUAAAACUUGUUUACAAUAGUAAAUUGGAACUAUACUGUAAAGCACAACAAAAGCUCCUAAAAGAGCAAAACACAAAGUUGAUAAAGCUAUUGAAGAUUGUGUUAAGAAAGUUUGACAAUCAAUGCACUCAUUUUUCUUAAAAUCACUUGAAUGGUUCAAGAUUUUUGGUGGUUAGAGACUUGUAACUCUUUUUUGAAUGCAUACUUGAUUCUCUUGGGUUUUCUUUUUUUCUCUUUUUUUUGACUCUUCUAUUUAUUUGGUAGUCUUUAAAAUUUCUUAAAAUAUUAAAAAAAAUAUUUCCAGCCGUUAGAAACCAAAAAUUAGCUGUUAGACUUAUUGUGUACAUUUCUGAAACUUUUGCAGAACUAGUCAUUGGAAUUAUUAGCCGCAUUCAAGUCGACUUGACUCAAAUAGAGAUCGCCUCGAGGUGACUAUGAGUCAACUCGAUAGAAGUAAGGAUAGACUCGAUGUCUAGCCUGAAAAAUAUGACUCUCUAUUUUUUUAAGAGAGUCGAUUCAAAACUAAGUAGGAGUCGGCUUGAGGCUAAGUUGAAAAAUCUAACUCUUUGUCUACCUAAGAGAGUUGACUUGAUAAAAGUAGGAGUUGACUCGAAUUGUGCCACUUGACAUUUGCAUGCCAGAAUUGAUUUUUUGAAGCUUAAAGUCGACUUUUAAUCUCUUUCUCUUGAUUUUUCAUGAUGUGGCUUCUUUAAUUUACUUUCUUUGACUCCUCAAUUAGGCAUUCAUAAAAUACUUUAUCAAAAUGACUUUAGCUUGCUGAAAUAUUUUUAAUAUAAAGUCCAACAACUCAUUAAAAUUAAAAUAAAUACUUAAAUAUUUUAUAUUCAUCAAAAUUAAUCUUUGGACCAACACUUUGACUAGUAUGUGUGCGUGGAGGAGGGGGAGUGUUACUAAGUUGUUAUCUCAUGCCAUUGUUUUAACAAUCUUUUUAGCUCCAUAGGAAGCUUAGUACUAAGUUUCUGAAGCUGCAAGUUAUAGAUAUUGCAGGAAAAGUUGAUAUUUCUAGCCUUUUGAUUUUACUUAGAUUCACCUUUGUAUGAUGCUUAGCACCUAGUGGAUGAUACGAUACCAAAUUGGACGGAAACAGUAGAAAACAAUGGCAAAACACUUCCCUUCCACACCACAAAUGAUAGGGUGGAGGACAGAUUUAUGUUCCCAAACUUUGGUAUGUAAAGACAUCCAAAAUCACACGGACACAUGAUGCCAUGCAUAAUGUGAUUGGAGAAAGCUUAGCUCCAAGAGCAUAUGCAGAACUUUCAAUACACGUGCUCGAUUCCAUCUGGCCUUCUCUUCCAAAACUCUCUCGUGCGUCCGGCCAUGUACAGCGUUCUCAAUGUAACAGUGAUGCAUGUAACUUGUACAAGGAUAUGGACAGUGGAUGGCAGAUCAAACAGAAACCUUUUCUUCCCUUUAUCUAAGUGGAGAAGGGGGAGCAACACUCCACCCGAUUUAUUGAACAACAGUGAAGAGAACGGGAAGCUAAAAGCCCCCUACAGUGAAAAUCCAAAUGCAUCUUCAAUCAAAAAAAAGAAAAUCCAAAUGCAUCUGCACUAAUCUGGAUUAACUUUUGAAGUUCUUCAUCAAUGCAGCUCUAAGACAUGAGCUCUCCCCCUGAAACAACGUGUCAAAGUUGAUAAUCUAGAACAUGACUGCCUCUGAUUUUACCUUUUAACCUUCAGGAAUUAAUUUGCAAUGGAUAAGGAGGCAAUUUAUGGCAUCCAACCUUUCCUACAAGGCAAAACAUAGGCUCUCAACAACUCAAUUUUUCUCCACCAACCCUUCUCUCUGUGGAGCCCAUUCUCCAAAGCCAUACUGCCGACGUACUAUAUUCCUAUGUAAUUUACCUCUCUUACGUAUUAGUCCUAAAGAUGUGAAAUUUUUCGUCGGACCGAAACAUUGCUGAGCUAAUGGAUCAAUCUAACCAAGAACCAUCACGCUUCUAUUGGUCCCUUCUCAUAUAUAUAUAUAUAUUUUUGUCUAUUGUUUAUUCGUGUUGGUUUAUGAUUGAAUUGGUCCAUUAGGGAGCUGAUGGAUGUGAUCCAACCAAUAAUAUUUUUCCAAUUACAAACAUGUGCAUGGAUCCACUCUAGCUUAGGAGUAGCAGCCAUAUUUGCCCUUUCAUUACCCGUUCAGAGUAGGUUCGGAGCGCCCCGUAAGAGAAGAAUCACAGUGCCUCGCAUGGAACUUCCAUUAGAUGAUAGCGGUUGUCAAUCAUUUUCAGAUGGCAACCCCGCUUCGUCCGCACGUGAGACCACGCUGGCACGUGUCAGUAACAUGCUCCGUCUGACAGCUGUACCGUACUUCCGGAUGGGGCCCACUGCUGCGUGGUCCCAACCAACCGGACGCGCGCAUCUGGCACGAAGGGCUUGUCAUGAUGACAUCGGAUCGUACGGAGGAGACGUCUCCAAGUCAACGCACCGACAGCGGGCCCCACCACCAGGCGGCUCCUUGCGGGACUGGGCGUUUUGGACACCCGUGACCAGAACGUGCGCAUGUACGAAUCUCAAGCCUCACGGACGAAUCAAAGUCCAUUAUUCCUUUUUUUUUUUUUUUUUUUUUGAUUGGUAAAUCCUUCGUCUUUUUUUAUUUUUUAUUUAUUUUUAUUUUUUUUAACGAGCUAAAAGGCCGGUUAUAUAUUGCCUCUCAAGGCUGGAUCUGAUCCCCAUUCAGAAAGCGUAUUCGGCGACCAAAUGAAGGGCAUUUUCCUUUCCCAAAAAUCAAAGAAAAGGGAAAGCCGGGGGAAAAAAAAAAAAACCCAGAAAAGAAAAGAAACAGGUCCACGCCCAUGUCUUUCGUAAUUUUAUCUGCAUCCAGCAUGUCCAGUGCCCAAAACUUUCACAAAUUGUUGUACCUCGAUAGACGCUACAUGCAUAGGUACUGUAAGGUUUUAUUUUUUUAUUUUUUAUUUUUUUGAUUAGACUGUAAGAUUUUAUUUCACCUGCAAAGAAUGUCAUCUUAGGUUCCGCCCGUAAUACGCUGCUACCGUUGUUUUACUUAUUAUUUUUUAAUUUAAAAAUUUUAAAUUAAAUUUUUUAAAUUUAUUAAGUGAUAUAAUAUGAUCAUAUUGUCCAUCUCUAUUUGCCUAAGCUCAUGAGAUACUGUCGUGUGAUAGUCACAUGAUAUGCUUAGGAUUAAAAUGCCUUUGAUAAUUUUUUAGAACUAAACUUUUUCGAUUCAAUUAACAAACCACUUGAAAUUAAUCAUUAGCAACGGCCUCAUGGUACCUCUUUGAUCACUUUUGCACUUCCCUCCGCACCUAGCCUUAUCAACACCAAUGAGAUCAAUAGACCUCCACCUCCUCUUGGGUGUGGCCCAUGGCACCCCUUGGUUCACCCACUCGGGUUAUCAUUUCUAUAUGGAGAGCUUGGGCAUCCCCGAGGACAUCUACCAAUUGACCUCCUCCCACUUUCCAUCCCUAACCUCGACAUCUUUAUUGUUGACCUUGCUAAGAAAAGAGAACUCAACUACAUCACCAACAUGUAUCAUAAGCUCAACCAAUUUGACCGCUACUUGCCCUUUCUCACCAUUCGCAACUUCCUGCACUUUCUUUUUGAAUUGAAGCAUCGAAGCCCACCUCCACCUCCAGCACUACCAUCAUGGUAGAAGUAGGAAAGGAAGGUAGUGUUAAUGGCCACGAGAUGAUGGUAAAAAAGUAGAAAGAUAACAAAUAGCGAUCCAACCCAUCAAUCCAACCCGUAUCUAAUAUACAAUAGAUUUGGAUUUGGACUAAAUAGAUUUGGAUCAUAACAGAUCGCUCUAUUUAAAUUGUUUAAUAAUCAAGUCGGAUUCAGAUUUCAAAUUUUUGAUCUAUUUAACCCAUUUAAUAUAUUUAAUAAUUAGAUCAAGUCGGGUUAGAUUGGAUUGAAAAAUCAUUUAAACUGCAUCACCUACCACUUUAGUUUCGGUCAACUCUUCUAAGGAGAGCGACACUACUCACAUGGGCUACUGCUAAAUCAUGUCGGUCUACAACAAAUUUAUAUAGACCAAUAAUUGAGUGAGACCACAUGAUUGAUGUCUCCCAUCCAAUCAUGUGUGAUUGAGCGGUCUAGAUUGAUUCCUAAUCUGAGUAGGAACCUUUUUUGCUCUAGAAUAAUGCAAAUAUAAUGGGCAAGUUAUAGAAUCUUUUUUUUCCUCCAACCUAGAUGAGACUAUUGGAUAAUUUCUUUAAAUAGCCAAUAGAUGUUGGUUUAAUAGAUCAGGAACGCAUCAUACCACUUUUUUUUGAGAGUUCUAAGAGCACCCCAUUGCCUAGAUAUAGCAACCCAAAAGUAAGGAUGAAUUAAAUUAUUUAAAAAAUUUAAAUAAAUAUAUGCACUAAUUUCAGUACUGCAGUGUGAAAGUGAAGUGUCUGCAGAAAUAAUAAUAGAAUUAAGCUAAAAAAUAUAAAGUAACGAUGCACAAUCACAAAUACAUUAAUUUUAUAGUGGUUUAGCAUCGAAUUCAGUGCCUACAUUCACUUUUCAAGAUCUCUUGCUUGAGAAUUCAACUAUAAUUAUCAAAGAUUACAUUUUGAUUGUUUUAAAUUGGGCUCAUAAUCAACCAAUUGAUUUUGUACAGAAAAUCAAACAAAACCUUUACCAUCACUCCUAAAUGGUUUAAUACACCAUCCAGUUACGAACUUGAACAAAUCUAUUCCACAAAUUUCUAAUCCAAGAACUCUAUAAUAAAAGCAAAAUCUAUAAUAAAGUUUAGAAGAAAUGAGCCAAAAUUUGAGAAAUAAAAAAUCACUUGAUGAAGCACAGAGAAGUCAUGAAUGAAGUGCAUUAAGGGCUUUGACUUCUUAUUUUUCAAGAUUAAGUUGAUUGAUGGCAUGAUUGAUUCUCUCCUUGAUAGCUGAGGCAAUUAAGACUCUUGCCUCUCUAGCUCAAAGGUUUUAAUGCACUCUUGGUUAUUGGCAUGAAAGUUCACUUGAGUAUCUUAUCAUAUAUCUUAUCAUUCAUCCUUUCUGUUCCUCAAUUGAAUCCUUAUCUUAAAUACUUUUAAUUUUGAUUGAAAGAAAUAAAAUAGCCAUUGGAGGGGCCAAACUAGUCAUUAAGAAUCAAUUCUACCCAUUGAAAGCUCCCAGAAAAACUAAUUGCUAAGCUAUGAGAUACAGAGAGGCUGACUCCUCUUCUUCAAAGGUUGACUCAUCAUCAUCUAAGAUCAUCCAGUCAGCCUUCAGAUUGAUUCUUGAAGCAAUUAUAUUUUGAUUAUCCUUUGCCUUGUACCUAUGGCCAUUUUGAUGUUGACUCGUAGAGAGACUAUUUUUCCAAGCUUUUCAUCUUAUCCCUGAGACCAUCCUAAGGUCGACUAAUUUGGAUCUAUGGUCGACUCAUGCUACUCUAGAUCAACUUUUUAGAAGAUUAAUCUUGCAAGAUUUCUUUCUUUGAUGAUUUGAGACUGUUCAGGGAUCAACUCCUGAAAAUUUGGGAUCAUUUCUUGGAAAGUACCUAUCUACUUAAACAUGCUGAGGUGAACUCUUGAAUCUUGAGGUUCGACUCUUGAAAAUUCCUAAAAAAAAUAAUCUUCUAUUUGAACUUGUGAACAUUCAGAAAUCAACUCUUGACUUCGGGUCGACUCCUCUGAAACAAAAUUUUAAAAACUUAUCUUUGA
rnacentral:lncRNA from 1 species